rnacentral:lncRNA from 1 species
UUUUUUUUUUGGUAGAAUCUGAUCGGCGGCUAGUUAUAGAGGAAGAGGGUUGGGUUUGUUGGCUCGCGUCGGGACAGAUUCAAAUGUCAAUCCGCACCAGCGCGGCUGGUGGCGAUAAUUAAAGAAAGAAAGAGAGCAAUCAAGCGCCACCGCGGACCAGUUGGUAAUGUGGUAAGCAUACGCCACUGUAGCCGGCGUCACCCACCACCGGGGGAUGCCACCACCACCUACUCCGCUAAAAUUGACCUAUAGGCAACUAGCAGGCUAGGCCUGCAUACUUUGAUCGAGGAAAAGAUCAAAUGAGAAAAAACAAAUCUACAUGAUAGUGUUUCAGUAUUAUCGCGUCAUAAACGUCUGAGCUUUUCGGAUGCAAGCUAAUGACCCUGCUGCACCGUCAGCCGGCUCCAAAUAAAAAUGCGACCAAACAGUGUGAUUUCGUUUCCUUUUCUUCCAAUGGUGAACAGUAGAAUUCUCACAAACGUGUUUCCAGCUGCGUGGCCAGAGACGUCCUGGCAGAGAUGAUGGCAACCACGUCGGCGGACUCGAUCGCACGCACCAGACCGGCCUAACACUAACGGUUUCGCCCGCAGAUCGAUCGCACGCUGCCGAACCUCACAUGCCGGACGGUGGCGCGGGACUGCCGGGUGCCGUACGCCGGCGCGCAACGAACCGAACCCGCCCGCCGACCUGCGGCGUGCGUCUGCCCCGGAGACGAGCCGGGUUCCCGCGGCCCAGAUCGCGGUCAGAUGCUAAUAGGAUCGGGCGAGCCACAUGGAGGGAACAUGGCGUGCGGUGCCGUGCCGUGCCGCCUGCCCACCAGAUCAGACCCCCCAAAACACUUGCAUGUUCCCGUCCGCUCGAUCUCGCCGAGCCCGCGGCCGCGCUCACGCUUAACCAGCGACGACGCAUCGGCAUAUGAUUAUCCCCAUCUCAUCUCAGGAUAAUGGCGAGAAAUACAAGCACGCGGAUGCGUAUACACAUCGGUGUGACAGGUGCACGUUGGCAUGGGCACCGGCGAUGGCCCAAUGAAUGAGGCCGGUCGACGGGUGCAUGUAGCCGUCUCUCGCCCACACGGUCUCAGCUCGUGUGAGUAGCGGAGCAGCGAUCGAUCAUGGAAGAAGCGCUGGGGGCCCAGCUGAUGGUGCGGCCGCGCAUCAGGAGGGGCACGAGCACUCGGCCGUGAUCUGAUCUGAUCCCAACUAAAGGUUUCAGCAACCUAGCUAGCAGCGUUGUUUUAACGAGCCUUGUGGGCGGCUGCCGGCUGCUCCUGGCCAAUGGCACAGGGGCAAAGGUGUCGGUGUUGCCUUGCCCCCUCCUAAUCUUUGCUUCCAAGCAAACAGCAAGCAAUGCGCGUCCAGCCUGUGUGCCGCUUCUCCGCUCCCUCUUGCGUUGCGUCCAACCCCCCCCCCCCCCCCCCCCCCCCCCCCCCCCCCACCCCCACCCCCCCGGGUGGCUGUGGGGUGCUUGUGCUUGCUUGCAUCUUUUGUAAUCCUGGAUUAGACGCCACCGAUCUUACACAUGGGAAUAUUCCGGCCUCCGCCUUCCAACCGUCACACGGCAAGGCACACGCGGUAUUCUUUCAGUAUACGGAACAGCUAGCGAGAGAGCCCCAUCGCCAGAUGGGCGAGCAUGCUUCAAGGGAUCUACUACGCCACCGGCCGGCCUGCUGGUGGUAGAUCUUUUUUCUUCCCCCCCGCCGCUAGGGUCAGAGGUCAAUGGUUUAAACCUUUGAGAUCUUUGCAAGCAACGAGAAAUUAAUUUGCAUCCUCAUGUAACAUGACAAUUGCAAGCAGCUCGUAUUGUAUGAACGUAGAGGAUCGGAAGUCAACUUGCUUGUUGCGCUAAUUCUGGUACUAGCGCUGGAGUAGUAGUUAAGGUAGCAUCUUACGCCUUAGGAAUUAAUUACUGCUAGGCUGUUGAUGUGAUUAGAUCAAACAGAGGUGGCGUGGCGUCAGUAAAACUUUUAGCACAUGGGAUUAUGAUUGGGGCUAAUGGAUAAGAAUCUCGUAUAACUAAACUCCGGCGUCAGUACUCUGACACAGGACAACAAAUUAAUAAGCAUCUGAUCGGGGCCUGAUCCCAGGCAGGAUCACCUGCUGAGUCUCCGCACAAAAUUAAUCACAGGAAGGCGAUCAUAUGCCGCAUGAGAGCCAUAGUUUAAACUUUAAAGGGAAGGGUACUGUACUAUACAGUGGUAUAAAAAAAAUCUUUCCUUUUCAUAUUGUUAAUUUCGAUCAAUUACAAAUUUGAGGAUAACUACAAGAUUGGUGAAGGAACAUAAUACAGCUACAGUAUAAAAAAGAAAGGGAAAAGUGAAGCAAAGAUCCAUCCCUUCUCUCCUACCAUCACCCUCCACUAACAAAAGAAUGAAUUCAAUUGAACAAAAGAAUCUGAAGCUCGCUUUCGGUGCCGCUUUGCCCUCGCUCAGUCUUUUGCUGGAGCUGAGCUCCCAAGCCUAAAAUCAACAAAGGAGAAGCUACCCUCCUUUGACGGCUUCUGUGACCGUCUCUAUGACUGAGUCAAACUAUAUUGUAGGCUCUGUACUUCAAUUUCAGGCCUAAUACACUGAAUUUUGGCUUCACAACUUCUGUAGGAGGCCACAACUUCUUCACAACAGAACCCGGAAGCUGGAGCCGGAGCAGGAGCUUGGUCGAGCAGCACCUUCAUUUUCUUAACCACAAUUGCAAAAUUGUGAGAUAUUAGUAGACACUGCAGAUCUCAGUUCAUGGAUCAUCUUCUUCUUCCAUCAUCAACAUGUACAAUUUGCCAAAGAAAUACCCUUUCCUUUGGUUAAAUUCACAAGGAGAGAGAAUCCUGGCUUAAAGAAUAUCCGGUGGUGAGUAGAUAUUACAACAAAUCGGUCAAUGCUUCUUGUAGCUUAUAUAUAUUUUUCUUUUUCUAAUAUCUUCCUUAAACCUCCUGUGAAGGGAACUGACUGACUUACUGACUUUAUACAAAGGCUGUAACGGCCUCCGAGGAGGCCAUCAGCCGGGAUCAUCGAAUUAUUAGGUGAGCAAGCGAGCCUCAGCCAAUGGGGGCGUCUUAGGCUGGAGCUUGGCUUGCUGCUGGGACCAAUAGGCCUGGGCCGCCAGGACCCGGUCGAGCAGCUCCUGCGGCACCGGCUCGCCACGCCGCUGCUGCGGCGAGAUGCUCGCCGUGUGCACCAGCGUCUUCCACUUGUCCUGUUCACAUCACAAUUUCGACACGGUUAAUUCAUUGCCUGUUCAAACUCAAAAGUCAUCGUCAAAUUUUGACCAGAAAAUGCAGACAGUAGACAACAGGUGCAGCAAAUGCAAUGCAACCCAGCCAAGAAGCUUCCAGUCUAAUAAAGGAAAGGUUAUCUGAUACCUCGGCGAGACUUUUUCUAAAGUCCGGAUCGGGUUAGUUGACGUGCAAGAAUGGGUCACCUUUGUUUCUAGGUGAACCGUUCUGGUACUACAACCCACAUGACCCAUCCAAACAACAAAGCUGAUGCGUGGGGACAGCACUAACUGAAUCACAAGGACAAAAGGCUUUCAAGGAAAAGAGUCUGGCUGAAACCUUCUAAGAACACAAAAACAGCACUGUCCUGUUGGGUGAGGAGCCUAAAACCCACAAGCACCAUACUACUGGUUCAAUCGGCCAAGUAACCUAACCCACUAGGGGUUUUGCAUAAAGCCGAAGUGUGCAAUUCCGUGCAAAGCCUUCUUUUCGCGGCAAUUAAAAUGUUUGGCAAUAAACAGGAAACCACGGGGAUCAAUCACUAAAGCAGGAAAGGACAAUAAGGAAAUCAAUGGUCAGAUUUUGACAAGUAUAUGCAAUGCUAAGAUAUUUGUUUUAGUCUUCAGUUGAAGUCAAAGUCAAGCAUUUGACAGUUAUUACCUUAAGAUCAACAUAUGUCCGGUGCUUUGCGUUGUCAAAAGCGCGGAGUUUAACAUCUCGCCACCUACAUCAUAUCCAUAACUAUGCUGUAAGAAUACAGAACCCAUGAAAGUAUACUUUCUCUGGUCAAAUGAGGGGAAUAAGCAAUUGUACCUUCCAGUUCCAAGCUUUUCGACUGCAAGCACAAGUGCUUCUACUUCAGCAACAGAGAACGGACGCCUGAUCCUGCGUUGCCCCUGCUCUGGUGACCUCUUUGACUUAUUCACUGGAACUACAGCCCCUGCAUUGGGAUCUGCAGGUGGAACAGGAACUAAAGCUCGCGAGUUUGUGGACACUUUAUCAGGUGAUGAGAAGCCCCCAGGGGAUUGCACUGAAUCAUGGUCGCUGCCAUGAUAGUUCAUUGCUAAGGGAGUUAGUGCAAGAUCCUGGGAGACAUCGACUUCACCAUGCUUGGAAGAUGAGUCAGCAGGCGCAAUCCUGUAUCGAAUAAGUUCACCAGUCUGGGUCAGGUUUAACUGCGGAGGCACCUCAAGUUAUAGCAUGCCGGUGAAUUGUUUAGAAGCAUAGUUUUUUUUUACCUUGCGAGGGGUUCAGUAGUAUCAAUGGUUUCCAGGAAACUGGUAUCUUCAGGAGCUUGGGCUUGCGACAGGUUGUGCGUACAGUUGGGCUCGAGUGAAAAACCAAGGUUGUCAAGCAUAUCAUCCUGACCAAUCCCAGCCUGCAUUAAAGUUUUACUAUCAUCUCUGACUUUCUUUCCAUGGUGAAGAACACCCACGCGAAGACCACCUCCAAGAAUGGCAGUUACCGCCUCAAGAACAGUUUUCUGCAUUGGAAAUACUGAUUAAACCACAGGAAAACUCAUUGAGCACAAAAAACCUGUAACCUAUUUACACAUGAUACUAAAUGGAUGUCCUCUACGUACCUUUAGUGACCCAACCGUUGCACUUUCUGGGAUUUCAACAAGAAGUUCAGGCACCUUGAAAGACUUAAUUCUAAGUUUCACUGCAAGAAUAAAAGAUAUCUUAGGACCAGAUAUAGACAGUAGGAGAUUAAAUGAACUUGCUGGGGAGUAAAAUUUUACCAUGGCAAUCGUUUGAUGGACAAGAUUUCUGGAAUGGCAUUGAAUUGGUCCCCUUGUUUGCUGCAGAAGUAGAAAUAUUAUUACCCCUGAGUAAGAAACCAAGGAAAUAGCAUGAAGAGGAAAUUCCCGUGUGGAAGUAAAACAAACCUUCCAAAGAAGAAGCAUGGGAGUCUCUUCCAGUAACCUUUGUGUUUCCUUUUCCAUUUGCUCUACCAAAUUCAGAUGCUAGAACUGCAUGACGAUCAAAGAGCUUCCUCCGCUUAAAUGUACUCCUCUGUGUCCUCUGUCGUGUAUAAUGCAUUUUCUUGUUGCGGAAAGAAGGCUUCCGCUCGACAUCUGACGGGAUCAAUGAAUUCAAGUGAGAUGCAGCUGGUUUGAAUAUGAAAAUAAAAGGAAGGCAAAGUUUUUAGUGCUUACCACUGUAGGAAAGAUCUGAUUUGUGCACCCUGGCUGGAGCAACUUUCCUGUACUUAGAAGUGAGCAGCUUCCUUACCCUACUAUGCUCAGCUGUACAAUUGGGCCUGAAACCCCUGUUAGUGGUGGUGCUUGGAUGAGUGCACCCAGAGGACUUAUCGUCGUCAUCAUCUCUAUCUACAGCAUACCCCGCCACACCCUUCGGCCCCCUUGGCAAGGAGAUUGAGCGGCGAAUUUUAUCGCCAUGAAAUGGCAUCUCACCGGUGCUGUCAGAGCUGACCAAAGGAGGAGGCUUCGUGUCCACAUCCAUUGGAUCGAGCAAAUUAUACAUGUCAGGAGCAUUCUUAUGAAAUCCUGCUGCGGCCACCUGCAUCAGGCUCGCUGCUGCAUCUCCUGUGAAGGCUCCUGAUUCCACGGAUUCAGGUGACCACCUAUCUGCAAUCGUCCUGAAAUUACAACCCAAUUCGGCCUUGGCACAGCUGAUCGAGGAGGAUUCCUUGUCCUGGGCUUCAGACUUCGCCUUUGGAUCCUCGUUCCGAGCAUGAUUCGCCGACCGCGGAAACACAUUGUGGGGGAGAAUUGCGCUCUCGUUGCAGCUAUCCUGAUCCGUCACCUCGUGCUUGAAAUGCUUCAUUUCCUCAUCGCACUGCUCCUGCUUCACGCGGACAUCCUUGGCGGACGCAGCCAAGGCCGGGGCACCGGCGCUCAUGUUCCCGAGCGAGCCCUCGCCCUCAUCAAGCAGCUUCCCGGCCACCGUCGCGAGAAGGUCGAACGCGCACAUCAUCUGGUCCGGGCUCUGGGCCUCCUUCUUCCGGGCCGAUCUCUUGCCCUGCACAAUUCAACGAACAAGAAACGCCAUCGUUGUCAAACUCGCCAACCAAGGGCAAGCAGAGCGAGGUCCGAAUCGAUUGCGCUGAAAGCCGCAUACCCUCGCGGAUUUGGGAACGCGCGGCAUCUCCGCGACUUGGCCUCCACCGCACGACUCCAUCUCCGACGACGACCUCUUCUGGAACACCAUUUCUUGCGCCUCGCUUCGGUUGCUUGCAAUUCACAACAGGGGUUGCGUGGUUAACAACCGGUGGUUGCGCUGCUCAUGGCUUGUCCCCCAACACAAAUCUGAGCAAUCAGCAAAGGAAAACCGGUAGUCAGCGGAAUAGAAAAAGAAAGGAAACCGUUCGUUGGGAUCUCCGCAAGAAUUCGGGCAUAAUUCGUCUGAAUUCCCGGAAUUUGCACGCCGGGCUCACCUUCGCCGGCGUCGACUCGCGCCCCGCCUCCGAAUUCCCCGGAAUUAGCACGCCGGGCACACCUCGCCGGCGUCCGCUCGCGCCCGCCUCCGAUCGCCCUCGGAUCACCGCCUCGCCGGGCUCCUCCGCGGCCGGAACCGCCGAGAUCCCUCAGCCCCCGCGGAAUUAUUCCCCCUCCCCUGCCUCCGGGUUCUCCCUCCUCCUCGCCUUGCUUCGCCUCUCCUCUCUUUUUAUUUUUAUUUCCCUUUUCCCCCCGUCUCCUCCUCCUCUCCGCCCUCCGCCUGGGUUUUUUCUUCUGGUGGUGGAGGUGCGUGGUGCGGUGGUGUGGGUUGGCCAAAACCCCUCAAAACCAACCCCCCUUCUUAAACCCCCCCAACCCCCCCUCGCUUACGCCCACGCCAUCCCACCGGGAAGCCACCGGCUGCUCCCGGUUAAACCCCACGCGGCCCCGCUCCAACGACCGGUUCCGCCCUUCCCUGGCGUCCACGUGGCCCCCCGCCACGUGAUCCGACGGCACCGGGCGCCUGUCCGGGCUUCAUACAGUAGGAGGAGGCGUCUCCGCGCCCGCGCCACGUGCCGAUGAUCUGGGCCGUCGGUUCGGGGGAACGGACGCGCCCGCCGCGCCGUCGGAUCCCGCGGUGGCUCUCGAGUCCCUCGUGACCACUAACGUGAGGAGUGAUCCCUGUUAACCGGUGGGGGGUUUAGGGAGGAGAGGAGAAUUAGCGGUGGCGUUUUUAGGAAAGAAACGUGGGGGUUAGAAAUUAUUAACUGCAUGCGGGCCCACUCCGCAGUCUCUCUCACCUUCCCGCUCACGGAAUUAAUUCGGGGCUCUCCGUUUUUUCAAUUAUCUAUUUUCUUUUUCUUUUUCUUUUUUGCAUGGAGGGUUUUUGCUCUUUUCGGGGGAGAUGCCCGAAGAGGUGCUAAGAUUCCGGGAUGCUUCGACGCAGGACCAGAUAAUUUUUAGAUAAGAAAUUCGUGGUCUUUGUGUUUCUAAAAUCUAAAAAGCCAACCUGUUGGAAAAUAAAUAUAGGAGGUUCAGCUCGCAUGCAUCACUCGAUCAUUGCUCAGUCCGGAGGUGUGGGAUAAAAAAAACAAAUGGAGCAUAUAGUUUCUUUUCUAAGGUUUAAAGAAAGAUCAUUCAAUGGGUUCCAAAUUUGACCACGGUUAAUUACGGUGGAAAUUUCAGUAGGGCAAUACAUAUAUGGGUUCGCUAUAUUGACCAGAGUUCUUUUUUUUCUCCAAAAACUAACAAACUCUACGUUGUUGGAAUGUAAAAGCAUUUGGGAUAAGGCUGCUAACAAGGAGAUAUGCUUUCUUUAAUUAUGGGGUAUCGACCGUAUAAUCAUCAACUGAGUUCUAGUGUAGUUCAAAAGUUCUAUUAACAUAUUACUAUUUUUCAGAUGAAUCCAAAACUUUGUAGCUACCCAAAAUCUGUUAGUUCGUUAGGCAAUAUAAUCAUGGAGGUGCCGCUUUUUUUAGAAUGAACUGAACCACUAGUGCGAGCUUUACAUUACUAUCUUUGCAAAAAGAUACCACUGUCCUCGGUUUCCACUAUUAGCAUGGUCAGACAACGGGGCAGCCUGAAUGGAACAAAUUUGCAUGCAAUAUCAUUUGUAGGAACCAAAUCUUGCUCGGGCUCUUUAUCUAAACCAAGCAAGCACACAAAAUAGUAUCUUCAUCACGUCCUGUACCUAAAAUAAAAUAUGUUUCAAUUAGGACCUAUUUGAUACCUUUGCUAAACUUUAGCAGCUAAAAGUUACUAAACUGUAGUUGCUAAACUUUAGUCAUGGCUGUUUGGAUCCAUGAGCUAAACAACAUUUAAUGAGGUGGAAAAAGACCUGUUUGCCCUUAAUGAGAGAGAGAAGGGUAUCCAGACAGGCAUUAAUGGAGGGCAAAGGGUGCCACCCCACCUUUUAGCAAGGUUUAGCAACCAAAAGGUUGCUUAUGGGUUAAAGUUUAGCAAGGUUUAGCAAAGGUGUUUGGCAAAUUUAGAACUAAAUGAGACUAAGUUGCUAAAGUUUAGCAAGGUGGAACCAAACACCCUCGCUGUCAGAUAAACCAGAAAACAAUAUUGACUCAUUUCAGGUGGACGACUGGCCUCUCGUAUCAUAUAUUUUACCUUCAGGUAGAACUUGUGUUUUAUAUGGUUCGGACUGUUCAAUUUUUACAAGUUUUACAAAAGGACACACUCAUGGGUGACAGGGUGAGUGUGGCCUUUCAUUAAAAAUGGGGUGAAUGUCGUGUACGUACCCGUAUGUCGUAAUAAAACAGAAAUCAACAAAAUUACGAGUCAUUUAGAAUUUGUUGACCAAUAUGCAUAAAUGAUCUUUUAUGUACAAUGAUAUUGAUAGAUUUGGCAUCAAAGUUCUUUUGCAGCCUCAUAAGUUAAUUGUACAACAUCAUAUGCUACAAAGAUAUUGUUUUUUUAAGGAGUCGGCAGGAAAUCCGCAAAAUUUUAUAUUGAUAGAGAAGAGGGUGAAAUCAAGCAUCCACAAAAUCAGUUAUCAGCCCAAAGAAUUACUUUGUUCCGAGUCUCAUGUCUAACAAAUUUCUCUUUGCUCGACAAUAUCUCCUAAUUUCUCAAAUAAUGAUUAGGGGGUAUUUGGAGACACCCGCCUAAAGUUUAGCACCUAUCACAUCGGAUGUUUAGAUGCUAAUUAGGAGUAUUAAACCCAGGCUAAUUAUAAAACUAAUUGCACAGAUGGAGUCUAAUUCGCGAGACGAACCUAUUAAGCUUAAUUAGUCCAUGAUUUGACAAUGUGGUGCUACAGUAACCAUUUGCUAAUGAUGGAUUAAUUAGGCUUAAUAGAUUUGUCUCGCGAAAUAGCACAGGGUUCUGCAAUUAGUUUUAUAAUUAGCUCAUGUUUAGUCCUCCUAAUUAGCAUCCGAACAUUUGGUGUGACACUGCUAAAGUUUAGCACCUAGUAUCCAAACACCCCUUAAUGGGCAUUGUAACAAACUACUACACUCUCACCAUCCGGAUUUGGUUUUCACUUUGCCCGAUUUGUAUCUUUAAAUGGAGGAUAUUUGUAGUUCCUACUCAGUAGUGUAGGGUUUCUUUGUAGGAUCCACAAAUUGUCAAUCGACUUAAGCAUACGUUCCACAAACAGUAUGCAUUAGGAGCGGGAACACGACGCGAAUAUGCUAAACUUGAGGUAAAGUCGGAGAACAUGGAUUAAUUUUUGUUUCAAGGAAAUAAAAUGUGGACACUUUUUCAACGGAAAAAUAAACACACCUUCGCUACUAAUCACUGUUUGAACAGACCUCGUAGUUACCACUUACCAGUGCAGUAACAAAAGGUAGUAUUUGAUCACGCGACACAAAGCUCCAUGAGACAAUGACGAAAUGACCAUUGGUUUUUCUUGCAAGUCUCGUUUUGUUUUCUUGACCCGUUUCUUGCAAGCAUCACAAUGAACAAGGACCGGUGUUUUUUCUUGCUAGUCUCAGAUUCUGUACUAAUCUCAUCUAGGCCCCCCGCCGCCCACCCCGCCCCCCCCCCCCCCCCCCCCCCCCCGGGGCCAUGUCAGAAAAAAGGGCGGCGACGCGUGUCGGCCCAGCACGCGCCCAUUGGUUCCUUUCUCCCCUACGCUUAUCCGCCUAUCCCUCGCCCGGGUCCGGUCACUUUUGGCCGGAAAUUCAUUUCGUUUCCCUGGCCCUCGUUAUCUCCCACCGCGAGAAGAGAUAAUAACAAGGAGAAACAUUUUCCUGUCGCAUUUUAAAAUUCUCGGUGCUCUCUUCGGUAUCGUCAUCCGCUCCCGACUACGAUCACAGGAAAAAGAAAUAAAAAAGAGCGUGAGACCGAAAGAAAACGAUGGAUUGGAGGCCCUGUUUCUAUGUGCGUUUUUUUUGGGCGAUGGGAAAAAUCCCUGACGUGACGCGUCGUCCAUGCCGGAGCUGGGGUCGCCGGACGCCAGCGUCAGCCGCGACGGCGGCGCGGCGAGCGCGCCCGGCCACACGAUCGGGACGGCGCCUUGACGGCUGUGGUGGCGGGGGAUAAGGAUGGGGUUUUUCCGGGUCGAGCACUCGAGCUUGUGGUGGUGGCGGGGGCUCCCAGCCGUGGGCCCCGCGCGGGAGGGAAAAGGGAAUCUGCUUGACGCGGGGCCCGCGGAUCAGGAGGAGAGGUGGGCCACGUGGAGCCCGCGAGGGGCCCUAGGAGAGACUGACGGCGAGGCGAGGCAAACUGGCAACUGCCGCGCGUCCGUUACGGUCCGUGUGCGGUGCGCGCUGCGAGUUUUCGGGCCUGGGCAGGCGGCGCCCGCGCCCUGGAUGCACGUGGGGUAGGACGCGCGGGGUCCAGGGCGAUGCGUGUCCGCGGCAAACGGUGGAACCGUAUCGCCGGCGAAAUCUUCUGGAGGGAUAGAAAAAUGGCCGGCGCCGAUCGGAUGGAUGUUCGUCGCGGCCAAGUAAGGCCGCAUGAACGAUCAUCAGGGCGACUGGAAAUGUGUGGUUCUGCAAAUCCACAGUAAUUUCCGCUGUUUUUUUUAAUGUAAGCACUCGCGGUUGACACCUGCGGGUGGUUGUGCUCGUCGUGGUAGUAAUAUUCGUCCCAGUGCUUGCGGAGUUGCGGCCACGAUUCGAAAACGCACCGCGCGCUUGAAAAGCGGGCGAGUUCUUCCGACGAUCGAUCCGUCCCGGCGCUUGGCGGCGGAGGCGUCGUCGUGGCAACGUCUCAUGCCAAUGCGAUGAUGCCUCCUCUGUCCUAGCUCUCCCCAUCACAUCGUAGCAGUAGCAGGCCCCUCGAUCAAACUGGUCUGCCCCCACCCCAUGCUCGAGUCUCUGAACUACGUGGUACGGUCGUACAGUAGCAUGCAUGUAUGCGUGCAUGUCUGCACGGCAGCAAGGUAACGAACGGGGUGGGGCAUGCCGGUCUGCAUCUCUCCGUCCUGGUCCUGUGGAUCUCCGCUCGCCGAUCCUACUGGCUAUUGGACACGCCUCCCACCUUUUCCCCACGAACAAUGCCAAUCAUGAGUGCUCAGCCUAGCUACCAUAUUGUUCGUACUUCGUGCUGCAUGAUGCAUGCACGCUCGCAGAGCAGAGAGGGGCCCAGUGCACGCAUGCAUACAUGCGUCGUGGAAAGACAUGCAUGCACCCCGUACCAGGACCUUUUUCCUUCUUGCAGCAGCAGAACUGCAGAAGGUGAGAAUGCAGCCGCCGGAAUGGACGCACCAGUUUGUUGGAGCUGAAAGAUUGGCAGGGGCAGGGGCCUGGCCGCCUGGGGAAAGGAGGUGGGGCCUGAGAGGCAGAACACUCCAUCCCGUCCCGUACAAUGCACGCACGCACGGUGAGGCCAGUUCGCUCCAUCGAAUCAUCGAUGUGCUGCGUCCGCGCGCCCAUCGCGGUGGGCCAAGACGGAUAUGAGCAACGUGCAUCACGCAAUCCGGGUGGUGGGAUGCGCAGCGGAUUUGCCAGCGAAAGCGAUGUCGCGCCCACGACCUGCCCCUUUGGUUUUGGUUGUGGCGUAGCUACUCAUGCUUGUACCGACCAUUUAAGUACCGCUUAUUUUACUCGGUACUAAAAAAAUCCCCUUUAAUAUUGAUAUAGCAAUACCGAUUGCACAACCGGUAUUAAAGGGGUGUUUGAAACCGGUAGUGAAGAUGUAUUUCCCGACAAUGUACUACUGCUUGGUGCUCGUACCGAUAAAAACUGCGGGGGUAAAAACUGUAGGAGAGUCUGAACCCGAAUUUAUCGUACGAGAUGAUUUGAAAUCACUUCCGAUGUUCUAAUCUCGAGGUCGACCGGGUGGCAGGUACAAAUUUUUUCAGGUUAUGAAUGUCACAUAUAAACGCGCACUUGAAUUGAACCUGCCAGCCAGAUCGUUUGUUUGUUUGCAUUCAAGAUGCCGUAGAAGACGCUAACACAAAAACGGGAAAGGGAACGGAAUGACGACAGAGCCCACGGCGUGCCUGCAUUGCAGCUCUUGCUUGCACGUAAAGCGCAGAGGGCGGCCCUGGGGUUUUGCCAAAGCGAGCAAAGGACCAGAGAUGCCAAACGUUCUGGGAAAGGGACGGCCGCUCGCUUUUCUUUUGCUACCACACCACCAUGUCGAUCGUCCAUGCCAAUGAUACCAAUCGUUGUUCGAACGUUUCGUCGUCCUUCCCUUUUGUCAUGCAUCCAACCAUCCAAAAAGCUGCCCAUCUAGCGGCCUGCUCCUCUCAAGUACAACCUUGCUUUAGAAAUAGUACUACCCCCUCAUCUAGUACCUCGUCGCCUGCAUAUUUUACACGCGAACCUCCUACUACAUGUAUCAAUGCUAGGUUUAAUUUCAUUAGAAAAAAAGAGAUACGGUUUACUUUUUUUUAGAGUGGAUACGGUUUAAUUUGGGACACAUAUCUUCUAUACCCACGUUAUCAUUUUUUAAAUACAUUUAUUUGGAAAAUAUGCUUCAGUGAUGGGCAUCUAAUAUAAAUUCAUACAUUGAGCCAUUGAGGGUUCCAACUUUCAACCAAUGUCCGUCAACCUUGAUUAAAAAACAACUAAAUCAGUUCAGAUUCAAACAUGCAUCAUUUGUUUUUUUUAAAAAAACUAGGACCAUGCAUGUGCUUUGCUAUGGGCGAAAUAAAUUCUCUCUCCUUAAGCGUAUUAAUCGUCAUCUUGUAAAAUAUUUGUUAAAAACAUGUAGUCAUGGAGGUAUAUGCUUUCCCUUGCGAAUAAUGCCAAUAGAAAAAUGAUUAUGUACUCGACAAUUUAGGUGCCUAACAUAUGAUUUUUUUUCCACCGCUAUAUCAAGGAAUGAUGGUACAACUUCAUUGUCUUCCCCACCCCUAAACUUUCACCCAUAUCAACCUCUACUUUCGCCACCUAGUCACUUGCAGAGCUCUCCACGUUGGCAUGCCAUCGGCGAGGUAGCGACAACCACCUCGUCGCCACCUCCAACCACUGACAUCUCCAUCAUAGUCCCUGCCCCUACCCUACCCAUUGGACAUCCACCACCACCUUGCUGGCAGCACCACACCACAUCAUCAUCCAACCCACGACCGCGCCGUUGCUGCAGGCCAACCUGAUGUUGUGUCCCGUAAACUGGUGAACUCUAAUGAAUCGAAUCCCCAACCCUUAGCUCCAAAACACUAACUCGGGCAAUAAAAUAUUUAUAUUCCAAUAUAUGAAGCAUUCAACAAGAUAAUAAUAAUGUAAAAAUUUUACAACACAUGUUGGGUACAAACACUUAAAAUUGAAUACAACCAUAUCGCAAAAUAGGUUACAUCAUAUGCUACGAACCUCUUAAGUUGCAUCAAGUUUAGUAAUAUUUCUUACUAAUUAAAAUAUAGUGAGUAAAAGGGCUAAAUGAUCUUUAAAAAUCUAACACAUAGGAAUUGGACAAAUGUUCAGUGCUCGUUUGGCACGGAGGAAUAUAAAAUAUAGAGUUGGGAAGAAAUAUAGGAAUAAAAAGAAUGGGAUGAGAAAAUAGAGAAAACGAAAAUCGGAAUUGUGUAGGAAUGGCAUUUGGAAUAUAGGGAAAAAUAGAUGUUUUGAAAGUAUACACUAAUCUAAUUUAUUAGACUAUAAGGAUGCAUCAUUUUUCCCAUCUAGUGAUCCACGAAUCAGAAAAUCAUGUAAAUGACAAAAUAAAGUUUAUUAUCAGGUAAUUAUGGUCUAUAUUUUAUCUUUAUGCCAUGUUGCAUGUUGGGACCCAUCCGCUGUAGAUAUUAAUAUAAAGUCUCAGUUUGGUUUCACUAAUAACCAUUAGCUACUUCUAGCUACCCAAGCUAUGGUGGGUCCAAAUAACAAUAGUGGGACCAAAUAACAGCGAGACAAACAAAAAAACCAAAAUAUCCUCUUGCGUGCUCAGAUUUUCUAUCCCCUUCUUCCAUCAUUCUCAUAUGUUCACUCUUCUUCUUUGUCUUAUACUCAUCCAAAUCCAGCUAGCAACCAGAGUGAAGCUCCUCAACGCGUGGGCGAGCAACUGGACACAUGUAACCUCUCCUCCAUCAGGUCCAUCAGCUCUCUCUCUCCCUCUCCCUCUCUCUCUCUCUCUCUCUCUCUCUCUCUCUCUCACACACACACACACACACUAUCGCCAUGAGAGCCAAGCUCCCAGGAUGAGCCUCCGGCUCGAUCCAUCAUCUCUGGACUCUGGUGAACUCAAGCCCUCUAUCCAUGUCUCCUUUCCCUUUGGCUUCGGCUCGCUCUACUCCCGCACAUCCCAUGGCACAGCAUUGCCUGGCAAGUAGGCAUCCUGCGAAAGCGCCUCUUCCCUCCCUAGGCCACUCCACCCCUAAGCCGCUUGCGCCUCCGGCGAGCUCGUGCCCAACCCCUGGCUGCAGAGGCUCCCAAGGCAUCACGUCGUGGCUGUGCCGCCCAAUCAGGCCACUCUCCGUCAGCUUCCCUAUCUCAAGAUCCAGGCACCUCCAUGCCCUUGAGCUCGCCGCCAGUCAACUGGCCAGCCCACCUCCACCUCUCUCCCUCCACCCCCCAGGCGCUAUCCAAUCCUCAUCUUGCUCCACACUGCAAUUGACAACCCUCUCCUCUUGGAGCCUUGUGACAACGCUCGGCUCUGGCGCAAUAGCGGGUGAGGCGGAUCUCGGCGGGUAGAUGACGGCGAUAAGGAAGGCACACACAUAGGGAUAGGGACGGAUAAGGUUUGAUGGGGUGUUUAUAUCAUUUCUCUUAUAUACAUGUUCUAUUUUUUUUGAAAACUACGUGUGAAAUUUAAUUCAUCGAGUUACUCAUUUUUCACACCUUUUAUGCUUCAUAAGUGUAGCACUUAGUCAUUGCCUUCAAUCUAGAACUAAACACAUUUAUGCUUUCUAUGACUAUUCAAUUUGAACUAAAAAGAAAACAGAACCAAAUGGUGAAGUAUGGCAUGUUCUUUUCUCUGAUUUUUAGCAUCCGCUAUUACCGAAUAUAUGCACAUCUCCACUGCUCAAUAUUUUUUAUUUGAAUAUAAAACAUAUGUUGCUCCAAUGCUAAAAAAAGCUAAUUAUCUGAGUUCCCAUCUUCUCUUAGUUACAAAUUGUAUUUUCAGAUUUACAAUAAUCAUAAGGUCUGAUCAAAUUUCAACUAAAUCUAACUUAUCGUUGUUCUAUGGUCAAGCGAGAGCUUAUUUAUGUACAUUGCCAUUGAAAGACACAGCUUUUAUAGAUUGCUUCGAAAUCAGAAUAAUAUUUUUGGUAUUUUAAUUGAUGUUCAAUUCAAUCUAAAUGCCAAACUUUAGAUUUUCACCAAAUUAGUCUCUUUUUCUAGACAUCAUUGCAUAUCAGCAUAUACCUGUUUGUAAUAUGCAUGGCCCAUCUGCUGAAAUUCUCAAUACGUUAUUCAUAUGUCCUUAUUCAACUAAAAUGGUUAUACCUUUCAUUCUUUGUGAGAUUAUAUAAAUCGGUUUGGUAGUAAACAGAAUUGCAGGAUUGUCAGAAAUAGGCAUGAAGGACCGUUAAGUAUUGGGCUUUCCAUUUAGAAUUUGUGUCCUAUAAUUCAAACAUACACGAAGGUCCAAAAGUAUAUCUGGCUUAUUCAAUAUUGUUGUCAUUUACCUUAAACGUGUACAGUUUACAUGUUCUUAUGUUUGCUUAUGCAACAUUAUAGUUAUCUAACAAAACCUGAGUUUACUUUUUGGUUGUUCUAUAAUAUUAGUUUGUAGUGUUAUAAUGCCUGACUGUAAAGUAACAGAUGAUUCGCUACCAACCUUUUGAUUGUUGCAGAGGACGUCCAGGUUGAGAUCUCCAGGUAUGACUCCAGACACCUGGCACUCAAAAAAUCACAAAUAUGAUAUCAAAUAAUCAUGUGGGCAGGUAGCAGAUGGGCACUCAUAGGAGAAUGGGCAGGCAACCUGUCGCAGGCUGCAUCCUCCAGCUGACCGGAGGAAAGGUGCCACCGCCGCACCUUUGCAUGCCCCCACGCAACAUGGCACCCGGAAGGAGAUCUACUCCGGACAAGACGGAACAGGGGCUGGUGGCAGCGGUUGCCUCGGCGAUCCUGAGGCUGGUAGCAAGCAUGGACGGUGGCCUCGCACGGGGUGGCAAGGACGACUGUGGGGAAAGAAGCGAGGGGAGGUGGCGGCGGGGAAAGAAGUAAGAAUAGGCACGGAACGAUCCAAGGGUCCAAAAAAGCAGGAGGUCACGAGGAGGGGCGUUCCUGGGCGCGGGGUGCCCUCCUUCCAUCGUAGGGCGCUCGGGCUUCCCUUGCCGCUUCUCACGGUCACAGAGGGCGCAGAACACUAGAGCGCGGGACGAUUAGACGGAGGACCCCUGACGUACGACAUUUUAAUCUUGAUUUUGGUUUUUUUAGCUGGAGAGAUAAAAUCCUGGAAAGAAUUCAACAUGCCCCAGCAUGAAGUUACCUACACUCUUGCUAAACCCUCGUUCCCACUUUGGUCAAAUACCGUCCAAAGCCUCCGCCCCCCUUUACCUUGCUGUCACGGGAGCUCAUUCGUUCAGAAUUCAGAGAUAUCAUUCACCCCUGGGUUCGAUCUGGCCCCAGCCGUCAGCGACACGGGCGCCGACGCGGCCCGCGGCCCCCGCUCGCAGGGAACGUGGGGGAGACGACCACGGGAGGGCUUGCUUGACGUGUAAGGCCGGCAACGUAGCCAAGCCAAAGGAAGCAGCAGCGGCAGCGGGCUCGAUCCCAGUCCGGCUCGAACGGGGAGCGCGUGCUCGGCGGCGCGCAACUUGCGGUCCCUCCCCUCCCUUGCAGUUCGCAGCUGCAGACUGCACUUCAGCCCCCCUGUUUCGUUGGUGUGUUGUGCUCUUCCUGUGGAUGGUGGUGGAUCCCUGGCUCGGGCCCCUUGCCAAACCAGGAGGCAACCUUUUAGGCUGGCCAUGUGCACUUUAUUACUCCUGUACUACUAGCGGUAGUCCCUUGUGUUAAAACCCUUGGACAUCGCUGCCAACCUAGCAUUUUCCGCUUAAUGUAAUGCGACAUUUAAGUUGCCGAACUUCAUCCUGCGCAGGUCCUAGAUUUGAAUCGUCGACGCCUCGACGGCGCCCAGCAAAAGAAAGAACCGCGCUUUGUUACCUGUGGUCCAUAUGGGGGCAGUAAUAAAUCGGUUUGCGGAGUGCAGAUAGGGACAUACAGUAGGGUCACUUUGGUGGUAGAUAAUUUGCUCAUUUUUAUAUGGCUGCUAGAAAGAAAGAAAGCAAGCGUGGUUAGUUGAACGGCAUGCAUACCACGACCCAGCUACGCAGAGAGCAGCGAGCGCCCAUGCCUUCCAAUCAUUCCUAACCCCUCUCUCCCCGAGAAAGAAACCCCAGCUCCAGUCCAUCACUGCUGACACGAGAUGCUCCUCCUCCUAUCCUAUCACAAUUCACACAAGGAACGGCCAGCCAGCUGCAACCGUCCCAUUCUCACCCAACCGCAUCCUCAGCUCAUCCACGGAAACGGGAACAUGAGGACUGAGGAGGGACGGAGAAAACGAGAGCGCUCCGGAAAGGCGUCCGUUCGCGGGCGAAACCGGGGCUCUUCCACGCGCCAUAACACCCGAAAAAUGGAACGCCGACGCCGCGCCAAGAGGGGAAUGCGCCGGGGCUCCGUUCCCGGGCACGUUCACGUCCCCGCUGCCCCCCAGAGGCCCAGAGCGCGGGGCGCGGGGUUAGUUAGCUGGCGGCGACGCCAUUGUCAUUGCCGUUUUCCAUUACAGGGGUGUGUAAGCCGGCAGCGCCUGAAAGCACCGUGCCUAAAUGCCGAUCACUGUCGAUGCGUCUCCUGUGUCCCAAAGUCUAUACCACGUAUUCAAGUGUGCUCUGGGACCACUUUUUCAAUUCCCCUGCUCUACCACCCUUGCUUUCGCGAUUGGUUAACCUUCUCAAAGUGGACCUUUCAGCAUAGUCCAAGCCGACCUCCCUCUCUCACAUGGUCCGUUGGACGAUAGGAGAGAAAACAGAAAAAGGGCUCGCUAAUCAUGUUACCAUGCCAUAACAAAUCCGCAUCGAUCACAUGCUUUGGCGCUCCAUCCAUGUUAAUACGGGAGGUAAUAGCGCACCGGGCGCGGGACAAAAUCAAGCGUUAGGGGAAAACUAAGUGAGUAGGUCUCACUCUCACAUGCAUGGACGAGCCCUUGUGAUGAGUAUGUUUGGUCUAACCGCAAUCAUAGAACGCUUCAAAAAAUAGGAAAGGUCACGGUCGCCUCAGAUCUGUACUGCAUACUAGCUAGCACCACCACCAACAAUAAUAAUAAUGUUCAGCUUGGGCGAGCGCAAAUUGACGGCUCAUCCGUUGGGUGGUCAGAAUAAUCUGGUGGUGGUUGCCAAUCUUCGUCCCAAAAUAAGAAUGAGGAGCAGUGAUCUGGUGUCACACUAAAUAAUGCAACAACCGUACUGGAAAUUAUCUGUUCUAGCAGCAAAUUGUAACAAAUCCAGCCCAAAAGAGUUGAAUCUGCGGCGAUGAAUUGACACAGGAUUUUAAUUAAUCCAUCCAUCAGAAAUUCAGAGCACUAUAUAAUUAGCAGUACAAGCACACAGUACAUUGGUGGUUUAUGUGAGGUGAGAUCAGAAAGCAGAGCAUCAUCAGUACUGACCACAGGAUCCUAUGGCACUGCCAGAAAGUAUUGUAACAAAUUGGGCAAUCAUUAAGAGAUUCCUCCCCUCUAAUUAGGGCCCCAUCCAUGGGGGGAGAAAGGGAAUAAUGAGGCGUGCAUCACAUUGGUUGUCUACCUGUGGAGAGAAGUAGCUGAUGGCCUGAUGCCACUCUCACCAACUUCCCCGACUAAGACGAGAGAGGGGGAAAACAUGCAUGGUGCCUAUUUUAUUGCGUAUAUUAACUAAUGCUAUUAGCCAGUAUUUGUUUUUUCUUCUGUAGUAGUAUAGUUUAUUUCUCAUAUAUGUUUAUAGGGGAAAUGUCCCAUACUCCCAUAGUCCCAUUGGAUCAUUGGGGUAGGAGGGGUUCAUGAGAGGGUUUAACAAGUGAAGAAGGCUCACAUGGCAGGUGUGAGCUCUAGUGGGCUGAUCACAUGCUUAUCAAAAAGGGGCUUCUUCCUAGUUGCUGCCCGGGGGAGGGGAGGAUCUUGUCCCGCUGGGUGCAAAAUCUACUCCAAUCUCUACUUUCCAAAUUUAAAAUUAACAUAAUUUUAGGAUGAUUAGGGUUUUAGUGUCGGUUUGUGAGAGCUCAAACUGUACUAUCACAGUUGUGUCCACACAAAAACCACAGCCAUGAUACAUUAGGUAGACUGUACCAUCAACUUACAUCGAAAUGAAAUGUAUCUCUGCAUCUAUCCAGAUACUUGUAAAACCUCUAAGGUGGUAGGGAAGGGUGAUACUCCAUGCAUUGACUUCCUCUUAUUAACAGAGGCAGACCAAUGAGUUGACCUUUUCAGUGAGCAAAUAUAUAGGUUUCCAUUAUUCCAAAAUUGUUUUUUAGCCUAUAUUGGAGGCCAUCAGUACUGGUGCCCUCCCACCUUGAUCUGGAUGUGAUGCCUAGCUAUCUCCUACCUAAGACUGUCCACCAAUGCCAUUGUUGCAGACAGAUUAAGAAAGUGAGGUACCUAGCUGCCCUACACCAACUAGCAUGAAUAUACUUCCCAAAUUCCUUGCUAUCUUUUCAAAGUAGGAUAGUACUAUAUAUAAAAAAGCCCACUUGGUAGAUCAAUUUUUUUGUUCUUUAAAGCAACGACAAGAGAUUACAAAACUAACAGUCUGGUUUUCUCCGUAUAGAUUAGAGGAAAAGUAAGGUGUCAUGUGAAGGGAGGCUCAUGUCACAUGCUACUCUACAAGAACAGGUUGUUGCUUGCCGGAGGAACAGGUCACGCUUAUGAUCAGUUCCCCCCUCGCUACCCAUGAGAUCAAGGUAUCAAGCAAUUAAUUAGAUGUAUUUUUCGUCUCCGGUGACCUUUUUUUAACUCUUCCUUUUGCUGAACAAACGUUAGCCAGGUUGGGAAAUCACAUGGAUCGAUACGCUUAAGGUAGCAAGAGCUGUUUAUCAGAUCACAUGCGUUGUGAGAAAGAGAAAUUAUUCCUUCUUUAGAAGCGAUGGAAAAUGUAUUCUUUGGACGCUGCUGGGAGUUUCAUAUCAAGACACAAGUUUACGCGGACUAGUUCGCGCUUAAUAAUGUAUUCUGCUGAAAAGGCAUAUUUUGCUAAAUAAUUUGCAUGGGAUGUGUAUUUAAAUGGCAGUUGAUCCAGCUCUACUAUUUUUUGCUAGAUCUCUCGAAAAGCACACACAGAAAAUCAGCAUGACAAUAAUUGAGUAACAUAAUUGCAAUUAAAAUAACAAAAAGAGAAAUUCAUAAAGAUGUGUAGUGGUGUGCCGACUUCACAGGCACUCACUCAUGUCACUUUACGUUCCCCUCUUUUCUUCGGUUCAAAUUGACCUUAGAAGGCUUCAGGAAGGGUAUAUCCUUUUCUUGGGUCACAUCCAACCCAUCUGUUUCGUAGGGGGAAAAAGGGGUGAGGACGAAUUUACAGCUAAAUUGACAUGUACUGACUAGACUACCUGGUGUGAGUACAGUUCCAGGAACCAGCUGCAAAUGCUAGUUUAAAUUAAGUGGCUGCUGUUGCAUCUGGAUUAGGCAGCUGUAGGGUGUGAUAUGAGGUGAGAUUGUUAGGCUGCCUGGUGGCUGCUGGCUGAUGUGUCCAUGCAAAGAUUCCAUCAUGCUCCGCAGCCUGCAGGGCCCCACACAUAAUAACGGUAUACAAUGACAGCCACGCCGAUCGGAUAAAGAAACAAGGCAGCAACUGUGCCUGUCGAUGGUGCAUGAUCUGUUUCUGUUUACAGCGGGUGUGAGCACUGAAGCCAGGUGGGCGACAUCUGCACAGUGAGGGUUCCAGCUUGCCGAAUUCCGGUGUCCUGACGAUGAUUGAGAUGGUUAUUUCGAUGGAGGCGCCGGCGACCCUACGAAGUUGUUCGUGGCUACGCGCGAGGUAGGGCGUUUUAGCGGCAUGGAUCUACGUGCUGAAUGGAGGCUCAGCUUGCGAAAUCUGAUCCCGGAAAUCUGAGAGCUUGGCGUGAUGGCGUCCGAGCUCCGCACUGGAUGGAUACGGGCAGGGGCUCGCCUGAUCUCUCAUCCAUAUGUCGAUCCACCCCAUCCAAGUGGGAGCCAAUAAUUCGUCGCCCCCAAGUACACAUGGACGCAUGUGGCAUUGAAAACAUUUCUCUCCCUUUUCCUUGAAAACUAUAAGCUCCGGGCAAAGCCGGUGCUGGUCCCCUCUCCGUCUCCCUCCUCUAUCCGCGGUGCAUCUCCGUGCCUACCGAAGCCGACGAGCCCAAACGGAAAAGAGCAGCUACGGGGACGGCGGGCUCGUGCCGGGCCAGCGCGGCACACAUGCCGAUGGACGACGACGAGGAGGACGCCGCUUUGCCAGUUCGCCGUGCCGGCCCCAACGCAACGCAAUCCAGUGAAAAACAAAAGAUGGCUGGCAGGAAUAUCUCUGCUGCAUCGCCUGUGCCCAGCCAGGGUAGGGAACGGCGGGGGGCGGGGGCCAGUCGGUGGAGGCUGGCAGCAGGUCGCGCGUCCGUCAGGCGUCAAGUGCCCUCCGCGUCAUGGGAGGUCAUGUCAUGUGUGGUUGCCGGCCGCGCCCGCUCGUGCGCCGCGCUGUCCCCGUGUGCGCUGCGCUUCGUUCCAGUUCGAUCAGGCCGCCCGGCAUGGGCCAAGCGGGCACAGGGUGUACCUACCCAACGUGCCUGGCGCGUUCCGUGCAACGAGCGCAGGGCCACACGGUUGUUAACGAGGCUAAAUUUGUUAUCGCCGAACUGUUCGUCUCGCCGUCAUCUUUGGUUGCUUUGCUUUAUAUGAUGGUGAUGGCGACGCGGUUUACUGGGAAACGAAAUGCGCGCGUGACGGUCCGAGGGGAAAAGGGCGGGGCGUCACGCACCCGAAAGAUGCAGUCCAAGGUAGGGAAGGGCCCGGCGAGGUGGGAGGUGGUCCAUCCACCGUGUCUGUUGUCCAGAGCUAGAGGGACGCCCUGAUCUGACCUGACCUGACCUGACCUGACGGAAGUGUGGUUCCGGCCGGGUUGGGUUGGGGACGGAUGGGGAUGGUGGCCGUCCAGCUAGAGCGGAGAGGGACAGUUGGGUUUUAGGCGCCGGGCUCCUCCAUGCAUCUUGGAUCCUAUCAGGGACGGCAACUUUUUCCGGUAAGUAAACCUUUCGAUUCAGACCACAGCUGGGCUUCGUCCUUGCGAGUUUUUGUGCGUCCGGAACCGGCUCUCGAGUCUUGAUCGCCGUGACAACGACGGACAUGAGUGAGUGUGUUACUAGUAGCAGCGGCGUCGUUCGCCUGUCCGGCCCGGGGCUCCCGGUAGUUGCAGAGCUUCUCGUGGCGAGCCCACGCGCCGACGCGCGCGUCGGGAUUGGCAUCUGGCGGAAGUGAUCUGAAUUGGGCGGGACCACUACCGUGGGACGCCCUCCCUUCCCUUCCCUUGGUGCUUGAUCCAAUCAUAUCUGCGGCACGACAAGUGGCCACCGUUCCUCGAAUCCUCCUCAUCUCCUUCCCGUCCGUUCCUCCGUUCGCGACGCGCUACACGUGACCGUUAUCGCCUUGGCCGUUCUCCCUUUUCCCGGUCUGUUCUGGGGAUUCUCGUUCCAGCUACGCAAAGGAGUUGGUGUGUGCGUUCACUGUUAGCUCCAAUCCAUGCACGAGAGUUCUCACUGUCAGCUAAGCAGAGGAGCUAGCCUCCAGUCCGUGUAGAGAAUUUCUGUAACCGCUCAACGCUACUGGAGGCCUGGAGCAGCUAUAACUGGCACUGGCAGCCCAAAAAACUGGUUCUGAAGGUUCGAAUGAACUGAGAACGUCUUGUUUUCAGAAUUAAGAUUCACGCGUUUUUACUUCAAGUUUCUAGUGAAUGGCAGCUGUGUCUAGAACGCUGGAAUUUUCUCUGGAGUCUUGUAGCGAGUAAACAGGUUCUUGUAAGUUCUCUGUUUUUAUUUUGAACUCUGAAGACAACGAAGUGAUUUGUUGAGCACUAGUAGCUCAAGGCAGCGCUUGGCAUUUGGUGCGGCUGGACCGGGCGGGGCCUGUACCAAAAUGCAUUGCUGCAAGAUGCCAAGGCCAGGCACACAGGUCCACUCGCUAUUCAUCACCAAACACUGCCAUUAGUGCCACCCAUCGAACACAAUGACCCACAGCCGCUUGCCAUGCACGAUUAAUCAGCCAGCCCUGCCUGCUUCUGAUCAGAUCAAGUACACAAUUCAAAUGAUGCAUCGGGCCAAUGGUUUCAACUUUAGCAGAGAUGACAGCCAACCUUCUCCGCGCUACAGUGAACAUAGAGACACAGGCCAAACGAGAACAAACGCAACGCAGAUUACACUGCUCCAUCCGUAUGUAUCAGCGUCGUUAACUUCGAUUAUCAUGCAUAGACACAGCCACCCAAUGGCUCAAUGAAACUCUGCAAUUUCCGCUAGAUUAACGACAGUAGAUGGGCUACAUCAAAUACAUUACUUCCUGAAUAAUUGUGGCUCGACUGGGGACGAGGAAGGUCAUAAUGCUACAAAGAGGCAUGAAAACCGCUGAUAGCACAACAAUCAGCGCAAACCGAGGCCUGGGAGCGUUUUACACAAUAACAAUAAAGCUUGGCAGCUUCAGACCAUGGGAAAUCAUGAGGAUGAUGAGUUGCCGUACUGCCAUGGGUUGAACUUGAUGGAAGUGACAUCUGUCUCGUCACCGACACUGGAGCCAUCGAUGGCAGCCCGGUGCUCAGUAUAUUUGCCAUUGUAUUCAUAAAUCUCCAACUCACCCCAGGGAGUAGGGGCGACUACAUCCGUCAAGUUAAACCAUCUGGGUGUAAAUUGCUCACCCUUGGCCUCACGAGUUCUUUUCUCAGCUCUCUGUUGUUCCUCCAGCCUGAAAAGUUUGGAGAAACUCAGGUGUAAGGACAAAACUAGAAGGCAGGCACCAUGCUCAAAAUUACAGCAUCAAAUAAAAUGGGCGUACAAACGAGUGGUCUGAAUUCAAGAAAAAGGGGCAGUACCUGCUCUUUUCUGCGCCAGACUUCGACAUGUCACCCUUCUCGAGCGCGUAUCGGUCAGGCCUCAACCGGGAAUCAGAUGGCAACAGCUUCUUAGGAGCAGUGUCAAAGCUAUUUAUUUUGUGAGCAAAGUGUGUGUACUGGUACUUGUCAUUCUGUGGGGUUGGAGCAAUCCUCCAGAUCUGCAGUACGUUUAAUGUAUGAGCAGUUAAGUGGAUCUGACAUCCGCAAAUAUGGGACUGGCAUUGCAUGAAUAUAGCAGAAGUCCUAACUAGAAAUGAUAAGUGAAAGAAACUACCUCCUUCAGCUCAGUGCCUGGAAUAGGUUCGCCCUCUUGAUCACAUGGUUGGCAGCUCAUAAACGUAUUCCAUUUCCCUGUAAUCAUUAUUUUGGGUUCUUCCUCUGCACUGUACACAUACCCAUCCACCUCAUACCGGCCAGCCCUGAAAUGUACAGUCUGUUGAGACAAACCCUUGGCAAAACAAAAUUGAAAGAACUGACCCCACCCUCGCAACGAACUGUAGACAAAAAGUAGUAUAAUACUAAAACUGAAUAAUUGGCAACAUGAACUGUCAAUUACUGAUGCAACAAGAAAUUGAUGGCCAAGAUCAUACCCGAACCAGCCGCAUGGCUGGAAAUAUAGCACAGCUUUGUCUCCAGUUGUCAGGUUUGUCAUGACCAUCUCUCCAGGUGAGUCAACCCAUGUGCGCCCAAAUAUCAGGUUGUUAACCUUUGUUGGUGGUGGCACCAAAUCCAAAACGACACCAGAUUUUUUAAGUGUCACUCUAGUCCUGUGAUAUGGAAGUACAUAACAGGGGUUAAAUUUAGUGAUUUCAAUAACUGGUUCCAAUGCAACCUUCAGAAAGAUUUGCAGUUCAUUAUCAACUCAGCACAAGCCAGCUCCAAGAAACAAAUACAAUUCUAAAUAAUCACCUUCCAACUGGGUAAACUUCCAAUGAAUUUCCCAAGAAUUUGGUCUUCAACUUAGAUGUGAUAUCAUAAGUAAAAUGCUCAUUCUCACAAUGAGCAACACCCAUUGGAGGAUGAUGGCUUACCUGAAAAAAUAAGGGUAAAAAAUGUAAAAUUAGCAACAUUUGUUGAUGAAAGUUGUUGGCAUUCCAGAUAUCUGCAUUCGUAUGGCUAACCUGCUCCGCAAGAAAUGUAAUGCCCUGGUGGUUAACCAUUUCAUAAGUCUCUCCAAGGAUUGGAUUGAAAGGCUUCCAUGUACGCUGAUAUGCAAAGUAGACCGAAACAGCCCAUGCAGCUGAAAAAUUGACUAAAAGCUAAGUCAACCAUGAUACGGCAUUAGAGUGGUGUUGCAGGUGAGGGAAGGAGAAACUCACAAGCAUAAGCCAUACGCAUGUAUGGAUCCUCAGAUUCAUCUGCUUUGUCUAACAACUCACAGUAUUCCAUCAACUGCAGUCAGUAAGAACAGGUAAAAGCAUCAGCACAAAAUCAUCACAUGAAAGAUAAUGGGAAGUUCCUUUCCGUAUGGGGCUCAUUUAAGAACAGGAAGAGACUUAUAUAACAGAAUGGGUGACUAAAUCCCAGCUUUUAAUAGGUCACCACAGCCAUAAGGUAGCUUGUAAGAUCAUUAUACCAUACAUUAGUAAUUAUUUGGUCAAGGGAAAAACUGCCACAACAUCUACAGUUUAUGCGCAGAAAUAUUUUUGAAAGUUGCAGAGGAUCAAACAAUUGCAGACACACCCUUUAGCGCUCUAAUUCAUAACUUAGCAGUACAAACCUCGGCCAUUUUCUGAAGCAUUGUCAUUGGUUCAAAAAUGAUGACUGGAAGUGUCACAAGUGAUGUAACAUCCGAUCCUAUGUAUUUAUGCAUCAUCUUCCAAUAACUGUCACGAUCCUGCAAAAUAGCCACAGUAUCAAAAAACAGCAUAGGGGGUGCAGUAAUUGGCACAAUCAGGUUGAACAACUAAAAUACAGAGUCCAAAUGACUCAUUACUUGCAUUCAUAAACCAAGCAAUUAUCAGAUUGAUAGUUUUAUCUAGAAAGAACCAAGCAGUGUGCAACAUGAAAGUCACUACACUAAACAUGUCGUUCUAUAUAUGAGUACAAAUUACUAUGUUUUAUAGCCUUCAAUACCCAUGUUCAUGUCAAAUGGUCAAAAGAUACAGAAUUUGAACCAAAAUACCAAAUCACUCUCUACUUCAUGACCUAUGACUACGAGCAAGCCUGCAAACCAUGAAUAGGAGUACAGUAAACAUGUGAUUCCAUAGUCAGACAAAUCAACUUAGGGUGACACUGAGUCACUGACCAACAAGGUAAGGGUCUGCCAACCAAAUGAGUAGAUUCAUAUUCAUAGGAGACCAAGAAGAAAUCUCAAGAUUGGAAGAUGGCAAUCAACCCCAACACAAAAUAAUAAAAAUACACUCUAAGCAUACAUAGUCCAAGAAAAAUGUGGGAGCACUGUAGUAAUCAUUAAGGAUGUUUAAAGGUUUUGUGAUAUCCAACAGGGUAGAAGCAGAAUAUUCUUGUACACUUGAUGAAAAAGAAGUAUUAAGAAAUUAAUUUAGCAGAAAAAAAUGUAUGUUUUUUUAGUUCAAAUCAAUUUCCCCAGUAAAAUGUGAAUCGUGUUCCCAAUUUGUGUAGUGUUUAAAUAUAAUUUAUUCUCGUGACUUCAUAGCAACUAGGGAUGCAAGUUGCUUUCGAAUGGUGUUCUUGGGUUGGCUAAUUAAUUACAGUAACUUGCCAUCAUAGUUCAUUUCACUCCUCUACAUUACACGGCAUGCCACUGUAGUUCAUUUUAUCAAAUUUUGGGUCGACCCAAUGAUCCAAAGGAAAUAUAAUAUAGCAACACACUAUGCAAUGAUAAUUCGCUUAUCCUUACCUCCUGCUUCCAUCGCCCCCUCAAGGCCUCUUCUUCAGCGUCAUCCGUGCCUCCAUCAGGGUUAAUAACUUCAAGGCCUUCAUAACCGAGCAACCUACAGAUAUUACACAACAGCUUAUUACAAAGAGCCAAGCAACGGCAAACUGUCUCAUCUACUACAAAACAAUGAAUUUGCAGAGGAUACCAACGACAGCCAAUUAACCAUGUGCAUUUCAUGAGAAUUAAAGUCCAAAAAAGGCAAAGCAUAAGUAUAAAGUGGAGAGAAAAAACAGGUAAACUUGAAAAGUGAAGAGGCAACAGAUGUUGCGCACGUCAAAGGAGGUCCAUUUUGAAGCAAGUCAAGCCAUAGAUCGAACUGUUGGCAUCGAAAUUCAGUACGGAUCACAUCAUAUAAACUUUGAAUUGUACACUUACAUACCAUCUAAGCUUCAAAGCAUCAUAUGUUAGUACUUAAAUACAUACAAAGGAAUUAUCAUUCAACCUAGCAUCCACUUUAUCACUGUAAGUGAGAAUCUAUGGCAUCAGACUGACAGAAAGGUAGGCAUAAAUCACUGUAUGAUAAUUGCAAAGCUACUGAUCGAACGGUACCGUACAGUUACUAAAUAAACAAGCUUGAACUUAGACGAAAUACUCAAUUCAAAAAUUCGCCAGUAACACCGGGCAGGAUCAGUAGCAGCAGCCGGGAUCGGACUCGGGAGCGCCAGAUCACGGAGCGGGGAGGUCCCGAUCCCCGCCGAUCAGCUCUGUCAGAGCUCCAACGGGGUAGCUCAAGGCGGAUCUGAGGAGAAGAGCGGGAGAGAGGGGACGCUAUGGGGCCGGACGACUCACCCGUUGACGGAUUUGUGCACGGCGGUGCCCCAGCUGCGCACGCCGGCGGCGAACGACGAGAAGAAGCCGCCGCCCGAGGAGGCGGCCCCUCCGGCCUGGUCCUUGGAUCCCAUCGCCGGCGAUCUGCGGGGUCAAGUGCGAGCCGCGGCGCACCAGGGCGUCCGCGUGCGCGUGGGGGGCAGGAGGCUUAGGGUUUGGGGGCGGCGGCCGCAGCGGCUACCUACGUAUAGGCGAAGGAAGGGGGAGCGGGGCGGCGGCCGCGAUGGCGACGUCGCCGCGUGGAAUACGAACGCGAGGAGGAAUUUGGAACGGUCGCGGGAGGACCAGAGCACAGGCGCAGGCCGGCGGGGGUUCGGUCAGGUCGAGCCGCCCAGGCGGUGGUGAUAUUAACGAACCGGGCCGGGCGCGGCGCAACGUGGGCGGGCGAGAUGACCACGAUGCCCUUCCCACUUUACAAUUCCAACUCCGUGAUCCGAGUCUCUCCCUCAUCCAAAUUGUCAAAUUUUACACUGACGAAAAUUUAGUAUGAGAAAGUUGAACCAAAAAUAUUGGAAAACUUAGUAUCUUAUACACCAAAUUUCAACUGAAUUUUUCCUUUCCUCCCUCAAAAAAUACGAAGAUUUAAAUUUUCAUAAGAUAUUUCUUUGGAAGAAAAAUAAUUAAGCUUGAUCUGGGAUUUACUACUAUAUAAUAUCCUUCUCUUGUGAGAUGAGAAUAAAGUCAAUGAGGAAACAGGACAGCAAUGUUUUGUUAUUUCGAUUCCUAAUAUGACCUGGCUGUUUAGAAAAUCCGUUGAUCCCUCCAGUUCCUUUUGAGGUGGAGCACGAUCAUGGUCGCGCAGUGCCAAAACGGCAAGUCGUCUAAUCCUAUUCCGAUUCCUCCUCCUCUUGCAGUUGCACAUGCGAAAGCUGGCCACCGCCGGAUCUUCGCUGGAAAAACAACGCUGGUGCCAUGAGUAUUUGUGGGCCACUAGCGUUCCCACACGCCGUGGUGGGAACGACGAGAGGCGAAUAUAUUAUCCAGCCCAGUAGGCCCUCGAUGUAUUUGGGCCAGAUGUGUCUAAUAGAGGUGCGCGUGACCAUCCUCCCGGCCCAUAUGUACAGCCCGACUUUUCCUCCUUCCUGGGCCAUGUAUCAGUCCGCCCUUCUCCUUUUUGCUGCGUCUCCAUUUUCUUCCAGCCCCGCUUGCUGACAUCUCAUGGAGCCCGUACCGUGCUCGCGCCACCGUCCGGCGGUCUGCAAUCGCACUAGCCCGCUGCACGCCACCCCCAGGCACAGAAUCCGAAAAGGGCGGGGGGAUGGCCGACGCCCUCCCAUGGUUGUUGCCGACUGCUGCAUCCGGCGACCUGACGUCGAUCACCGAGGGGAGGGACGGGCAACAACCGCCCCCCCUCCCCAACUUGCCAAGCUGGGGCUGAGCGGCAAUUCGCCGGACACGACGGCCUGCGGCUGCUAUGGACAUGACGGCGUGCUGGGCCUUUGUCCGCGCAGGACGACGACUUUGUUACAGUUCGAAUUAUUUGGACAAUCUUAAACAACAAAAAGAAAACGUGAUGGUUUUUGCUUGCGGCAGCAACCUGAAUGGCCUCAUUUUGGCGCCGUUUCACGAUCAGUCGAUCACCGCGUCCACCAGAGCCACCACUGCGGCAAGAGGCUAUUAUCAACAUUCCCAAAAAGCACGGUACGAGAAAUCGAGCUCUCUAGACCACACCCACCGUCCAAAGCUACACUCCCGCCAAGAUCCUCCCGACAAACCUCCGAGUAAAAAAUAUCACCGUCACAGCCGCGCUAGUGGUGGACCCGAAAGGCAUCACGCCACGCUAAAAUCUUAGGAUCAACCUCGCCGUAACCAACCAAAAACUACUCGCAUCACCACCAUGGAAAGACGCACUCCGAGUUGCUGCAUCAAAUGGGCGGCCGUCCUCGUGCGCCACGCAACACAUCUUUUCCCUCUACCUCACCUCACCUCAGGGCGGGGGGGGGGGGGGGGGGGGGGGCGCAGAGUGGUGAAUCGUGACCACUCGUCGUAUCAGGAAGGGUGCCGGUUAUUUUUAAAGUUAAAUACAAGUAAAUAAAAUAAUUAAGUACUACCGGGCCCGGUUGCCCCUGUAGCAGGGUCGUGCCGGCAUGUGUGCUGGUAGCCGGCGGCAUCGGCGCCCGUACGCGCCAGAUGUGGGACGGGAUCGAGCGAGCGAGGACGACGAGGAGAUCAGAUAACCCAAUUUUCCGCAGCCGCAGAUCACCGGCUGGGGCCCCGCGAGAGGAGACGCGCCGCGACUGGGCCGCUAUCCCGCGCUCGAGUUUUCCUUAAUAUUUUAUCCCCCGGGCCCGAUCCUUCCGGACCGACGGCCCCGAUCGCGCCACGCCGCCCUGGGCAGGGCCCCGAGAAGGUUCGGAUGCCCCCGAUUUUCUAAUCCCGGCACACACAGAGAGGAGGGGGAUAGCGAGCGAGCGGGCACACCGUCCCCCGCAUUAUUCUUUUCGGAUUUGCUCCGCCUCCAUGCCCGUGUCCAUCACAGGCUGCAUCACAUCACCAUCGCCCACACCCAGCACCCGCGGCGCGGCGGCGGCGGCGGCGCCACCACCAGCGCCAGCGCAGGCGGUGGCGGGCACGGUUGCCCCGGCCGGCGCGGGAUACAGGACUGCUCUUCCUCGGCGGCGUCCCCUCCUGCCAAGCUAAGGUCAGCCUCGCCCCGUCCCCUUCGCGUUACUCGUUUUGUUUUUUCCUUUGGCGGUCAAGCGAAGCCGGAAAAGCUGCUUUUCACGGGCGGAUUUUGGCGCCCCGUUCUCCAGGAUCCGAGGAGGAGAGCUGCUGUGAUCGGUUCUGGCCUGUAGUCCAUGCCGAAGUGCUACAAUUUUAGUUUUUAGAAGGGGAUGUGGGUACGACUGAGGAGGAUCCGCUGUUUGGUUGCUUUUUGCUCACGCGGUAGCAUGGAUGAAGGGAGUAGCUCACCAUUUUUGUUGUGAUCAGCCUUCUCUGUCUUGCUUCCCGGCGUGAUUUUAGGCUUGUUGAUCCGCGUCUUCAAUUGUUUCUUUACUCAUUGAGGAACUCGUCAGUUCUUAGUAUUAAUGGCAAAUUAGUGUGUUUAUAUAGAGCAAGAUCCAUCGCUGUUAUUACGGAUAGGUAAGAUUUGUACUACACAAAGAAGAUUUUAGUGUGGAUUUUAUGCUCGUUUGUUUUUCUGCACUUGACAAAUUUGUUACUGACUGCAAAAGGUGAAAUGAAACAUGUAAACAGGCGAGAUUUCGUGGAGGUCACCAAUGGGUCUGGAUAAUACUUAUGGCGAGCUAUCUGGCAUGUUCUGUGGAGGCUUGUCUUACGAUGGUUACGCAGACCACAGCAGCUCAAGUGAUUAUUUCAGGUUCAUAGAUCCACUGCCUGCGGUUGUGCCCCAGAUCGCAGCAGAGCCCUAUUCCAAUCCUUCAUCCACCGUGUCGAGGGCCAACACUGAAACUGACAACCCGGAGGAUUGGGAGUUCAUCUCAGAUGAGUCCCUCAACUAUAUUAGCCGGAUGCUCAUGGAGGAGGAUAUUGAUGAGAAAUGCAGCAUGUACCAGGCGGAGUCAGCAGCACUACGUGCUGCUGCAAAGCCAUUCUACGACAUUCUUGGGCACAAGUUUCCACCGUCUCCUGAUCACCAGCUGACCCCUUGGUCUGUGGACAGCCCCAGUGAGAGUGGCAGUAGCAGUCGUACACAAUCUGUGGCAAGUACUGUUACUAGCAGCAGUGUUGGUGGUGCAGUGGAUAGCAAUCGGCGCUACGAUGCUGGACGCAGUGGACAGAUGGAAUCUUAUCGAGGCUUGUGUGGUCAGUCUUCUCAGCCGCUCGUUGGUCCAUCAAGUGACGCAUGCAGUGCAGCGGGUGUGCUAGAAGAUCCUUUGAUCACAAAUGGGAGGAUCCCUGAGUAUUUGUUUGAGAGCCUUCCAACUUGGGAUUUCAGGAGAGGCAUCGAGGAAGCCCAGAAGUUUCUUCCUGUUAGGAAUAAACUAGUAAUUGAUUUAGAAGCUGGUGGUGUUGCUAGACCCCAAGAAGCAAGGAAAGAUGUUUCUUUAAAUGCUAGGAAGGCAGAUGUGUUGAACAGCAGGAAAAACAGACAGAGUGAAGACCUUGACCUGAUGGAAGGACGGAACAUUAAACAGUCUGCAUUUUGUUCUGAUGAGCCUGAUUGGAUUGAGAUGUUUGAUGAUUUGCUUCGACAAACUGAGAAGAAGGCUACAGAUCUGCGAGAGCUGAUGCGCAAUGAAGCUUCCAAGAAUUCUCAGGUCACUCAGACGAAAGGGCCAAGUGGGCCACGGACACGAGGAAGGAAACCAACAAAGAAGGAUGUGGUGGACCUUAGGACUAUCCUCAUCCACUGUGCACAGGCUGUGGCAGCAGAUGACCGCAGAACUGCUAAUGAAUUGUUAAAACAAAUAAGGCAUCAUUCCAAGCCAAAUGGUGAUGGCGCCCAGAGGUUGGCACAUUGCUUUGCAGAUGGUCUUGAGGCUCGCUUAGCAGGCACAGGGAGUCAGCUUUACCACAAGCUUGUGGCAAAACGUACAACUGCCUCUGACAUGCUUAAAGCCUACCACCUUUACCUGGCAGCAUGCCCGUUUAAGAGGCUUUCACAUUUUCUUUCCAAUCAGACAAUCUUGAGUAUGAUAAAAAAUGCAUCAAAGGUGCAUAUCAUUGACUUUGGCAUUUAUUUUGGCUUCCAAUGGCCAUGCCUAAUCAGGCGCCUCUCCAAGAGGGAAGGUGGUCCGCCUGUUCUUCGCAUCACUGGAAUUGAUGUACCUCAGCCAGGUUUCCGACCUACCGAGAGAAUUGAAGAGACUGGACAAAGGCUUGCAGAAUAUGCUAAGAAGUUUAAUGUCCCUUUUGAGUACCAGGGAAUAGCAUCAAAGUGGGAAACCAUCCGUGUUGAGGAUCUCAAAAUUGGCAAGGAUGAAGUUGUGAUUGUUAAUUGCCUGUACCGGUUCAGGAACUUGAUUGAUGAAACAGUUGCUGUAGACAGCCCUAGGAAUAGGGUGCUCAACACCAUAAGGCAAGUCAACCCAGCUAUUUUCAUCCAUGGAAUUGUGAAUGGGUCAUACAGCGUUCCCUUCUUCAUCACACGUUUCCGUGAGGCAUUGUUCCAUUUCUCCGCAUUGUUUGACAUGCUAGAGACAACUGUCCCACGGGAUGAUGCCCAGCGUGCACUUAUAGAGAGGGAUCUGUUUGGCCGAGAGGCACUCAAUGUUAUUGCAUGUGAGGGCUCAGACAGAGUUGAGAGACCCGAGACGUACAAACAGUGGCAGGUGAGGAACCUCAGGGCUGGAUUUGUUCAAUCGCCUUUAAACCAAGAAAUUGUGAUGAAAGCCAAGGACAAAGUAAAAGACAUUUAUCACAAGGACUUCGUCAUAGAUGAAGACAGCGGAUGGCUCCUGCAAGGCUGGAAAGGAAGGAUAAUCUAUGCCAUAUCUACAUGGAAGCCUAAGAAUAACUAGGUUCUUGGUCUCAUUCUGCGUCUCCUAUCCCAUUUUGAAGCCUUGGAGGGGGGCUAAUCACAGUCAUGCUAUUUUUUCUGGUUUGGACCUUGACCUGUGAACCUGUGUGCUCAAGGUAAGCUGCAAGCUAAGUUUGGUGCAACAUUGAAUAAAUUGAUGGGGUAGUUACCAUAUAGUAUUUCAGUAAUGUUGGUCUAACAGACCUGUUCUCAGAGCAUAGUUGUGACAAUGACAUGAAAUGUUUUGUCUCCAGGAAAUGGCUUGAAGAACGAACAAUUAUCAAUGUGAUAGCUUUGUUAGAUUUACAUCUCUCCAGCUGGUGCUGCGAUAAACUGGAGAAAAGGAGCAGUUGUUGACCUCUCUUCCUUGGCGUUGGUAUCAUCACCCUUAUUUAAUUCGUAGUUUUCUUCUUUCCAGUUACUUCCAUGACCAUCCUAUUAGCAAUAACCAGAUCUCAGCUUCUAUUAUUAGUUAAUUAGCUAGCCAACUACCUGCUGUCUUGAGCUCUGUAUUUUUUUUACUUGUAUCCAUCCAUGUUGGCAAACAUGAGUCCGGUUUUGAGCUUCAGCAGAUCAAAUAUUCCCCAACGAGUAAGCUAAAUUAUCUACCUUCGUUCUAUGAGAAUGGCUGGUGCUGUUUGUGUGAACUAUAGUUAAUAUCUCAUGAAGUGCUUUCCUUUUGGUCGAUCUAUUCUUCAUUUAUUUAUUUCGAGCGAUGCGUUUUUGUCACAAAAUGAGUCCAUAAACUUGAGUGGAGCACUAAUUUGAGAAUAUUAAUAGAAAAGUAGUGCUACAGAUCAGCAUAGUACUUGCUUUUCUGUGGCGAUAACUAGUGCAUGGUGCCACCACAAGGUUGACAUGAUAUCACAGGACUGGCAGGUGGCAACCACUAUCUCCGUAUCUUCAUUUUAUUAUGCGUUGUGUGGCUUAUCUUUUCUUAGUCGCAGGUUGAUUUUGUUGUUGGGCAACUGAUAAUUGGGUUGACUUUUAAGAGCCACUUAUAUGAUAAUUGUUUAACGCUUUAUGUUCUCUGCAUAACUGAAUUUGUUGGAAUCUUUGUAUUGUCUGUAUUGCCGUCCACAGUAUCCUAACUCUUUUUUGAUAAAUAGAGGUUGGAGUAGAAUGCAAUGAAAGGUCAAUCUGGCUGCAAUGCCUAGAUUCGCCAUAACUUUGAAGGCCUUUCUUCUUAACCUCAUAUUGUUCUCAUGAUUGACCAAUAUUAAUUGCCAUCCGAGAUAUGAUGCCGACUUCUUGUCUCAGGUGAAACUCGAGGCAAACCAAGCUGAGCCUUGUUUGCAACUUGCAUGAACGGGCAGUGUUCUAUGAAAGCCUCCUCCAAGUUGACUAGCGUCAGGCUCAAGUUGCACAGAGCUGUUUAGAAGUGUCCAUGCUUUUCCGCUCUCGUUCGCUCAUCACCAUGUCAUUCCUGUAGUGGAGACCAGGGCUGGGCGACCGUGAUCACAGCCGCGAAAUCAAUUCGAGGCGGCACGGCACGUCUCGGCUCGUGUCAUGUGAGCCGGGGGUGUAAAGGAAGAUAAAGGCGACGGGGACAUGGAACCAACAGGGGGGGCUCAGGCUCAGCUUGUGAACUGAAAGAGGCCUCGCGCCGUGAUGAUGGCGCUGAUGUCUCUCCGGUCUGAGGGCAUGCUUUGAGGUGUUGUUUUCCCCAUCUGUGAUUCCCUGGUGUAAAGGGAAAGCGGCAUCCAUGAGAGGCCCAUGUUUUUUCCCCUCAUUAUCGCGUUUUAUCGGUUGAUUAACUGCUUAUUCUGUUUGCAUUUGUUGUGAACCAAGCAUUGUAGGAGUAGCUUGCACGUAUGACAUAUCACCUGCCAUCGUUGAGAGGGUGGAGAAAAGGGUGGGACUGAAGAAGAGACCCUUGACCUUGAGGAUGGGCCAAGCUUCGUUUCCUUCUCUGUUCUGAAAGACUUACAAUUCUGCUCUGCAUGUUAAGAGUCCUGACGGCGCAGUGCAGAGAGAGAGAGAGAGAGAGCGAGGGAGUCGCUCGGGUAAAAGCACGAUUAGGACUUUAUUACAGGCACGGGAAGGGUGAACGCUCACAGCAGGCGUUAACCACUUUGCAGUGGGCCUGCACUGCGAAGACUGUAGAAGCCUGAUGUAGGCUUUUCUUUAAGCCCACACCAGGCAUGGAAGAGCUUCUUCUAUAAGCUCGAAAUUGUGGGAACGUCAGUUUGGGCCCAAUACCUUCAUUCUCCCUGCAAGGCUGCUGCCAUGGUAGUAUAUCUUCUGGAACAAAAUAGCAACCAAGGUACUAGGUUGGCAAUAUUUUAGCGUGUAGUAUGUAUGACUUAGGUUGUGCAAGUAUUUUCAAACUAAUGUAGAGGAUUCCCAUCAAUGAUAGAUUGGUUUUAUGGCCAUUAACUUUCCACACUAGAUUAUCUACCCUCCUAAUCUAGGAUAUCUAAACUAUGAUCUUCUGCACGUUCUUUGGCUGAUAUAUUCAGAAAUCGGUUGGUUGAGACUAAUUGCAAAGCCGCAAAGGGAUCGUCAGUUUGGCACCUUUUGUCGUUAAUCGAACCUGACGCAACGUGCCAACAACUCCUUGGAUUCAUGCGCAAACUCAUGUCGACUAGGUUUACCAACUUUCAAGCUUCAUCAUUUCCCAGUAGUCAUUCAUCCAUAGGAAAAAUAUCAUUUCAGUCAUUAUCUUUUUAUUAAGAAACUGAUCAUUAAUUCCUCGUGUUUUCGCCGGGGGGCUACGCUUAUCCGGCCGAGCAGCAAGCUCCCAUCCCAGGGCUCGAUGGUCACACGAACGAUGACAGGCGCAAGCAAGUACGCAACAAAAGGCCGCCGAUCCAAACAAAAAACGGAGCCAGUGACAAACUGCAGAUCCAUGAUCCAUCCACCUCACCCGUCUGAGCUGACGGCCGCCAAUUAUGCGGGACGGGACGGGAUCGCUGGCCCUGGCCCUGUGGACAAGCGAAAGCCUCCAGCCUCCUGCCUUUGCCGUCCCCAUGGGGCAGCACGGUGGCCACGAACGCCGGAUUCAUCUCACACGUACCGCUCCUCUCGUGCCCUCGUCCCCGUCAGAAGUAAUCCCCGGAUAAUUCCACGCCACUAGUGCGGGGCCCACGCGGAUAAGCGCUGAGCUGGACGUGGUUUCGAUGGCCGCAAGCUUGAUCCGCUCCAGCAGCGAUUGCUCGGCCAGCCCGGCCCACCGGGGUUUGUCCCCUAGCUGCCUGCCUUCUGGUUCUAUAAUUCUUCUGUUGCCAUCAUGUCCUGCCCAAAUCAUUUUAGUUUGCUGUCCAGAUAAAAUGUCAAGGGAGACACUCAUGUGUGUCGUUGAUCAUUGUUCGGAGUUUCUAGCUCGUUUUUCAGUGUGAGAUGGUGUCUGGUCUAUGUUUUUUUUACGCGAACCGGUAAAAGGGCUGCCCUCUGUAUUUAAAAAUAGGGAUAGCCGGAUGGCCAAGUUCACAAAAUUACACCCCGCCAAAAACGACGAGGAAAAUAGAAAAAAGAAAAGAAAGCUGUAUGUGUUAGAGACUCUCUCUCUCUGUACAAGGUUAGCUAAAUGUUUUGCUCCUACCAUGAUCCAGGUUAAAAUCUCAUCUUUGAUUUUUUGAGGAUAGUAUUGUCGUUGAUGCCUCGACGUGAUUAAAAAUUGUGCGAUCUUUCCAAACCUUCCAACAAAUCAGGAUGACAAGCGACUUCAACCCUUUACGUGGCACACCGACCGUCGACGCUCUAGCAGACCACCAGCUGUGAACUGAUUGGAUAUGAUUCGAAUUAUAACGUGUCUUGUGGGGACGCCUGCAGGACCUACGGUUCGGGUUAUAUGAUUAACGGAUUUGUUUUCGUAUUUAGCUGCAAUCAGUUUAGUCCACCCUAUAUAUACAUCUUGUAAGUCACACAGGAAGAGUAAGAUGACUUAUUGUAUUCCUCACGUUGUAACUCUUCAAUUAUAGUGAAGAUCGCCGAUUGACGUCCGUGAUUUUUUGCCGCAAGAGUUUUUCACAUAAAAAUCGUGUCUCGUGUUUGAUCAUAUUUUCACUUUAUUUGCUAAUAAGUGGUACCGGAACUGGCCACGAGAUUCGAUUGGAAAAUAAAUUAGCGUUCCAGUCCCUGUUCGUCGCCGCCGCCGUUUUUUUCCUUCGCCGAACGCACCUGCUAUCAGGCGGUUCAUCAAUUUGGUGGCUUGUCGCUCGUGCGCGUCAUCUAUUGUCGCGCGUUGCUGCCUCGAUUUCGAGGCGGAGUCCAACGGCAUCAGGUGCCGUCUUCAGGUCGAGUUCCUCGGCCGUUCAGUUUCACGCGUCCACCCGCGUAGAGUUUCUGUUCCGAGGAGUCGGCGAGCUCCGUGUGCAGGCGGCGGGCCCUAGACGAAGUCGCCGAGUUCGAGACCACAAAUCAAGCCGCUGCUGGCCUGCUGCCGUCUCCUCCCUGAUGGAGAAAUAACCUGCUGCCGCACUACUGUUCACGCAGAUCGAGGUGCAGAGGUGCAAGACGUCCAGAAGCGGAGGAAAUUCCUACUGCUGUUUGUGUGCAAGCAUCGAGCCAUCGAGGUGGAGUACAGGCUCCGCUCGUUGUCCUCGCGCUCUCAAUUUUGAGCAGAUUUGCUACGGCCACACGGAGGUCUACCAGGAGAUUUCAGUAGCUCUUUGCUAAUCGUACACAGGAGGCGUACACAGGCUGCAGGUUUUGUGCUAGGGUUACACAGUAACAUACCUAAAUAGAUUAUUACUGCAGAUUAUUUUCUUCUGGUUCUUUCUUCCAAAUGGUUUCGAUGAAGUAUGAUAUUCCGCUGCUGGAUCGAGAUACAAGGUUCGUAUUAUGGCAAGUCAAGAUGCGAGCUGUUUUAGCGCAAGCUGAUUUGGAUGAUGCGCUUGAGAAAUUCGGGAACAAGAUUCAAAGUCCUGGACCGAUGAUGAGAAGAGAAAAGAUCGUAAGGUCUUUUCUCAUAUUCAUCUUCAUCUUUCAAAUAAUUUUUUGCAAGAGAUUUUGCAGGAGAAAACCGUUGCUGCUUUAUGGCUCAAAUUGAAGUCAAUUUACAUGUCUAAAGAUUUGACAAGCAAGAUGCAUAUGAAGAUGAAGUUGUACACGCACAAGUUGCAAGAAGGUGGUUCUGUGCCUAACCAUCUUUCGGUCUUUAAGGAGAUUGUUGCUGACCUACAGUCUAUGGAGAUAAAAUAUGAUGAUGAGGACUUCGGUCUUAUUCUUUUGUGCUCAUUGCCUAGUUCUUUUGCAAACUUCAAAGAUACCAUAUUAUAUAGUCAUGAUACUCUAACCAUGAAUGAAGUUUAUGAAGCAUUGCAAGCUAAGAAAAAGAUGAAACAGAUGGUGUCUACUGAAGGUUUAGCUUCCAAUGGAGAAGCUUUGUCUGUGCAUGGCAGGACACAAAAUAAAUAAAAUAAUGAAUAUAGAGGCAAGAGUUCGAAUGGUUAUAGGGACGUUCAAAGUCUAGAGGCAAGGAUGAGAAAUUCUGCAAUUAUUGCAAGAAGAAGACUCAUUUUAUAUCUGAGCGCUACAAGUUGAAGAACAGGGAAAAGAGAACUGGCACGUAUAGAUCGAAAGGUAAAUCUGAUGAAGUUAAUGCUUUUGUUGCUGCUACUUCAGAUCGUUUUGAGGUUCUUGUUGCUUUUGCUGGAUGUGCAAAUAGUGGUGAUGAAUGGAUUCUUGAUUCUGCUGCUUCCUUUCAUAUAUGCAUUAAUAGAGAUUGGUUCAUCACUUAUGAUUCUAUCCUAGGUGGUUCUGCUAGAAUGGGUGAUGAUAGAUCACAUCAGAUGAUUGGCAUUGGAUCCGUCCAGAUUAAGAUGCACGAUGGUAUUACUACAACUUUGACAUAUGUGAGGCAUAUUCCAGAGUAAGAAUCUUAUUUCUUUGAGUACUCUUGAUGGCAAAGGGUACAAGUACUCCGGUGGAGACGGAGUUUUGAAAGUGUCAAAAGGUUCUCUUAUUGUUAUGAAAGAUGAUUUGAAAUCUGCCAAUUUGUAUCGUAUUUGUCGUACUACAAUUACAGGUGAUGCCGCUAUAAUUUCUAAUUUAUUAUCUACUUCUGAUGCUACUAAUCUUUGGCAUAUGAGUGAGCUUGACUUGGCAGUGCUAAGAAAGAGAGGACUUCUCGAUAGUCAUAACAUUAGCAAGUUGGAUUUCUGUGAGCAUUGUGUGUUUGACAAACAUAAGAGGGUGAAAUUCAAUACAUCUACUCAUACAAGUAAAGGUAUUCUUAAUUAUGUGCAUUAUGAUUUAUGGGGACCAUCUCACAAGCCUUCUCUUGGUGAUGCUCAUUAGAUCGUAAUUGAUGAUUAUUCUAGAAAGGUAUGGCCUUAUUUCUUGAAAGACAAAUCAGAAGCAUUUUCAGCAUUUAAAGAGUGAAAGAUUACGGUUGGAAACCAAACUAAAAAGAAAGUUAAGAAGCUUCGCAUUGAUAAUGGGAUGGAAUUAUGUUCUAAUGAAUUUAAGUCAUAUUGCAAAUCUGAAGGCAUUGUUAGGCACUACACUGUUCCUUAUACAUCCUAACAGAAUGGUGUAGCUGAGCGUAUGAACAAGACUAUCAUCUCUAAGGCCCGUUGCAUGUUGUCUGAUUUUGGUCUGAAUAGAUGUUUUUGGCUGAAGCUGCUUCCACUAGUUGCUAUCGUUCACCAAUAUUGCCAUUGAUAAGAAAAACUCCAAUUGAGGUAUGGUCUGGUUCUCCAAUUGAUUAUUCACAAUUGAGAGUUUUGGUUGUACUGCUUAUGCUCAUGUUGAUAAUGGUAAAUUAGAGCCUAGAACUAUUAAGUGCAUCUUUUUUUUUAUCAACCUGGUGUUAAAAGUUAUAAGUUGUGGAAUCCACAAACUCGAAAGGUUGUGAUUAGCAGGAGAACCAGAGGGUCCUCCACAACAAUCUAUUGCAUCUGAUAGAGCUAGCAGGGCUCCUAAGACAAGUUGAUUGAAGAAUGCAAUAUUGCUUAUGCCCUGAGUGUUGCAGAAGACAUUGAAGGUGUUGAACCUUCUAAUUAUUCUGAGACUAUUACUUCUGCUGAUGGUAACAAUUGGAUGACCGCUAUGCAAGAUGAGAUGGAGUCACUUGAAAAGAAUGGUACUUGGGAUUUAGUAAAAUUGCCUAAGGAUAAAAAGCCUGUUCAUUGCAAAUGGAUUUUCAAAAGAAAGGAAGCUAUUUCUCCAAGUGAGCCAGCAAGGUAUAAAGCAAGGUUGGUUGCUAAAGGCUAUAGCCAGAUUCCAGGUAUUGAUUUUAAUGAUGUCUUUUCUCCAGUAGUGAAGCAUAGUUCCAUUCGUACUUUGUUGAGUAUUGUUGCUAUGCAUGAUUAUGAGUUGGAGCAGUUAGAUGUUAAAACUGCAUUCUUACUGGGGAGUUAGAAGAGAUCAUUUAUAUGGACCAACAUGAAGGUUUUGUUAUUCCUAGAAAAGAAAACCUUGUCUGUGGCUUGAAACAAUCUCCUAGGCAAUGGUAUAAGAGAUUUGACUCAUUUACGCUCUCUCAUAGUUUUAAGCGGUCGAAUUAUGAUAGCUGUGUCUAUUUGAACAUAGUUAAUGGUUUAGCUAUUUAUUUGCUUCUUUAUGUUGACAAUAUAUUGAUUGCUGCAAAAGAUAAAUCAGAAAUAGCUAAGUUAAAAGUACAAUUGAAUUUAGAAUUUGAGAUGAAGGAUUUUGGUGCAGCUAAGAAAAUUCUUGGUAUGGAAAUUAUCAGAGAUAGAAAAUCUGGUAUGUUAUAUCUCAGUCAACUUAUAUUGAAAAGGUCCUUCGUCGUUUUAAUAUGCAUAAUGCAAAACCAGUGAGUACUUCGUUAGCUGCACAUUUCAAAUUAUCUUCAGCAUUUUGUAUAGUGAAGUACAUGUCUAGAGUUCCAUAUUCCAGUGGAGUUGAUUCAAUUAUAUAUGCCAUGGUCUGUUCUCGUCCUGAUUUAUCUCAUUCAUUGAGUGUUGUCAGUAGAUACAUGGCUAAUUUUGGUAGAAAGUAUUGGAAUGCAGUUCAGUGGAUUUUCAUAUAUCUGCGUGGUACUUCUAAUGCUUGUUUGCAGUUUGGGAAAUCUAAAGAUGGACUUGUUGAUUAUGUUGAUUUUGAUUAUGCUGGUGAUUUGGAUAAGAGGAUGUCUCUCACAGGUUAUGUUUUCACCGUUGAUGGUUGUGCUGUUAGUUAGAAAGCAAGUUUACAUGCUACUGUUGCUUUGUUCACUACUGAAGCUGAAUAUAUGGCUAUUUCUGAAGCUUGUAAAGAAGCUAUUUGGUAGAGGUUUAUGCUCUGAGCUUUGCGGGAUUUCUUCUUGCAUUACUAUACAUUGUGAUAGUCAAAGUGCUAUUUGCCUUACUAAAAAUCGGAUGUUUCAUGAAAGAACAAAGCACAUUGACGUGAGGUAUCAUUUUAUUCGAGACGUUAUUGCUGAAGGUGAUGUUAAAGUAUGCAAGAUAAAUACUCAUGACAAUCCAGCUAAUAUGUUGACUAAACUUGUUCCUACAGCUAAGUUUGAGCUCUGCUCAAGCUUGGUUGGUGCUAAAGUUUAAGUCCUAGCGACUUUGGCGUCGGUGAUUAUUUACUAUUAAAGUGAGUUCAUUAAUGAUACUUCAUUUGCUACAAAUGGAAUUCGUCUCAAGGUGGAGUUUGUUGGAUAUGAUCCAAAUUCUAACGUGUGUCUUGUGGGGAUGCCGAGGGCCCACGGUUCGGGUUAUGUGAUUAGCGGAUUUGUUUCCGUAUUUGACUGCAAUCAGUUGAGUCCACCCUAUAUAUACAUCUUGCAAGCCGUAUGGGAAGAGUAAGACGACUCAUUGUAUUCCCUGCGUUGUAACUCUCUCAUUAUAGUGAAGAUUGCCGAUUGGUGUCCAUGGUUUUUUCCCGCAAGGGUUUUUCAUAUAAAAAUCGUUUCUCGUGUUCAAUCUUAUUUUCGUAUUAUUUGCUAACACUGAUGUUGCAGGCUCCCAUUGUCCUGGGUGCAGCCUUUCCCCAAUCCAGUAAGCUAACUGCGCCCACGUACUCUUUGUGAAUCUGCACUUGAAGAAGAGGUGCUUUCCUAUUGGAGGGACCGAACAACAUAAGGCACAUGCCGGAUUGUGUGGCCAGCCUCUUACGCUGAGCCUAUCCGCCGUUCAAAUUCUGUCUUGAAUCGCUAGUCACCUAAAGAAUUUGCACUUCGACGGCACCAGACGUGCCAAAUGAUCUUAUUGAAGUUAGUCGCUAUGGCCUCCAGGAAUUGCGCGUGGUAAGCUGAACUUGCAGAGUAUUUGUUCGACACAUCUAGCUUCCAGCUUCCAGGCGAUUUCGUCCUGAACAUCUGAUAUCAAUUGGACCUGUCUUGCUGCUGCCCACAAUUGAGUGAAUCCGGCGAAUAGGCAUGCCGUGAACGACUGGUGGUGCAGGUCCAAGUUUUGAUCCAUUGUCUUCCAACAAGUGCAUCUCGUAAUGAUCUAUUCUUUCUCUUGGAGAUUCUGUAGACAGAGGGCGCAAUGUCUCUGGGUCUUUGUCCCUGCAGCCAAGCACUGUUCCAGAACGAUGUUUUUUGCUCAUUCCCAAUUUUGAUUUUGGUUGUCGCCACAAAAGGAGACGGUCAGUGUUGUUGCACGGGAUGUCUGGUCCGAUCCAUGGUUUCCCUUCGUCGGUCCACUGCCGCCACAGCCAGCGAAGUUGCAGAGCUAAAAUGGUGUCUGGUCUAUGGAGCCCAUUAUUCCUCUUCUUGUCUUCGAUUGGCUUAAGCGGUUAAGCUAUAUAGCCUCAGCCUGAGCACAAGUAGAGUCUUUUAUCAAUAGGCUAUGUUUGCAGUCCUACAUAAGAAGAGAAAGCUCUCAUAAGAGCACUAAACAUCUGCCGUAUGAUCGAUUGUGAUCGUGUGGACGGCGGGUGACGAAAGGUAAAACCCAACUAAUCGGCGUAAACUAAAAUGGGCGGCCACACUAUCCAUCUCCAAAUACAUUUAUGCGUGGGAUAAUAUUUGUGACUAAGAAACCAGUUCUUAAUGCCUACACGAUAUGCUAAAAAUGUUCUAGGUUCGCCUCCUAGUCGGCAUCAGCCUCCACACACUAAUUCUAGUUUAACCCUUUUUUAAAAAGUCCUAGUUUAGCAGCCAGCCUACUCCGAGGCUCCUUUUUCAGCGCACCUACGCUUUAUGCCCACCGAACCGAGACAUCCCCGGAGCGAAACAAAGGCAAGCCACCAAAACCCCUUGCCGGGUCGGUCAGUGGUGGCGAGGACGGACGACGAUUACUGGUAAGGGGGAGGCGGCACUGACCGCCGCGACGGCGACGCCGAUGGCGACAGCGACGCGCCCGUCGGUCCCCAUCGCUGGUUCGGAGGACGGACGGGCGCGAGGCAAUGCCGAAAGGCAGGCGCGCGGGGGUGACGGGAGAGGCCGGGCGCUCUCCGCGGCCGUGCGCUCCAGACCGGCCGUCCAGCUCUUGUUCAGAUCACCAGCCGGUUCGCUCGCUGGAGCCCUUGGCCACCGUUGCGCGGGCGCACCACGACAAGGGCGACGAAGCGACGUGCGCGCCGCGCACUUGAGUUCCCGCGCUGACCCGCACAGCAACACCCACCGCAGGGCCCAACUAUUUUACGCACUUGUGGGGGGUGUCCUGUUUGUUCCAUUCGUUGUUGCUGUGCAAUGUGAAUAGGAGGAGUUCACCGUUCAUGUCACCGGAUUCCGCCGUCCCUCUCGGACGCCACCGACAACGCCGGCCCGGCCGGCAGGGCGGCUCGUUGCGUACGUACGGACGCGCACGCGUAGCCCUCCGAUCGCCGUUGGCUCUCUCGGCACAUCGGGGUCAAGGUGCCGUGAGCCAACCGUGGUUAAUUCUAGCUAACUCCGUCUGCAUCUGCAUCCAUCGUCCGUGAUAAAGAAAAAAAAUAGUCCAAGAAAGUUGCAAUGAGCUCAUUCGUGUGAACUGCUAGUGCUAUAUUAUAGUGUACUUAAAUCCUCACGUCGUGCAGCAUUAAACUAGUGUAUUUGCGUGCCCGUUUUAGACAGCAGCUUACGUUGAACCGUUGACCUGGAGCCGGGUCGAGUUUCCAUAAUAGCAAGCGGCCAUUUUCUUUUCUCCUGACGAAGCUGCUGUGUCACUAGCUGGAUACAAAAUUGUUGUCUGACCCGUGAUGAGGUGCACACUUAUGUAAAGCUCGCGGUUGCCGGAAAAGACUAGGCAUUAUUUCGUGGACCGUGGACUAGUAGUGAAUGAAUAAAUAACACGAACAAAAUAGAUUUCAGCGGCCACAAUCUUUGCCUCGAGAUUGCACGGAAGGGUCCGUUAGCUGGCUGCACUAUGUUAGUAGUAUGUUACAGCUGGGAAUGGGACAGAAGAAGCGAUCCAAUGUGACGAGCUGGAGUCCAUCCCUGAUCGCGUGGCCAAUGGGCUAGUACGCACCAGCCGUGUCGCGUUACGCUUCUUGUCGUAGUUUUACCGCGUCCCGUAUAUAUAUGGACGAUCACAGUUCGCAGAUCGAAUUGUUCUACUUGUAGGCUUGCAGCUAGCAAGCUGUCAGCACGUACGCACCAAGCUGCCGUGUAGUUUCAGUAUUUGCUAUUCGUUGCUUUCCUAAUAAAUACUCUCUCGGUUUCAAUAUGUAAGGUUAUUUUAGUUUUGUGUUAACUUGAACUUUUUAAAACAAAAAAUUAACUAACAUUAUAAGAAAAAGGGAUCAAUAUCUAUAACUUCAAAUUUGAUUCUACCAUAAAUAUGUCCUGAUACCAUAGCAGUUGGUACUUCAUAGUGCGUAUCCAUUUUGUAUUAUAUAUUUUUCUUCUAUAAAUUUGAUCAAAACUAGUUAAAUUUGAUUUAGUAUAAAAGUAUAACAAAUUACAUUUUGGAAUAGAUAGUACUAGGUUAGUUCAUGAGAGAUAGCUUACCGGUUGAUUAGGAGUAUGUUUGUUUGAGUUGCAGCAUUAUAAAAAUUGGCUUCGGUAGGCUGAUUCUAAAAUGUCAGAUUUUGAAAAAUUGGAAAAGAUAUCUUUGUAAAGUGGUUCUUGAGAGAAUGAAAUGUAUCAUACAUACAAUACUCCUCGGAACAAUAUUCCACGUAAGCCAUAAAAAAACUCCAUUUCUGCUUUGAGCUUCUAAUGCAAAUGUAGCUUUGAUUAAUUUUCUAAAAGCCAUUUAUACAAACAUCCUAUUUGUUUCAGCUUUUGGCUUCUAACGACCAGCAGAAGCUUAAACAAAAGGCCUAAGAUCCGUACCGUUUCAGUUUAGUACGGUAGGAUCCAUCCUCGUUGUAAUGCGCGUGCUGAUCGACCGAACAGCUAACUGAAGCACCCAACAUCUAGAUAAUGUAUCGUACCAAUAAACUGGAUUUCCAUGUGAUCCACGCGGGUGCUUUAAUCCAACUCCGGCUUCCGUUCUGACGACGCAUAGAUGCAACAGCAACGAUACAUAUAAACAUCCCGAGGGAACUUGACAGCUUCACAGCCGUGUGUACACGCUGACAAAUCGGGGUGCAUGUUCUGGGCGUUUCGAAGUCAAGCGGCAGUACUUAAAAAUCACCAAUUGUUUAGCACCACUGCCACUUCAACGACCACCGGAGGCAAUUAACACCGAUGGUUCCCUGUCAUUUCACUCCUGAUGUCACCGCGGCUGGCAAAUCACAUACACGUUGUUUUCACGCCUGUCAGGUCGCCGUUAAUUAUUGGGAGAUAAACCCGUAAAAUAACGCGGAGUGGCUUUGCCCAAGGAUCACCGGAAAGGGAGCUUCAUGUCCGUGACAUUUCUGCGAUCCUGUCGUCCCCUUCACAACUUGCGCACUAAGGUGUGUUUGAUACCCACUUCUAAACUUUAAGCACAUGUCACAUCGAAUGUUUGGAUACUAAUUAGAAGUAUUAAAUAUAGUCUAAUUAUAAAACUAAUUGCACAGAUGGAGUCUAAUUCGCGAGACGAAUCUAUUAAGCCUAAUUAGUCCAUGAUUUGAUAAUGUGGUGCUACAGUGAACAUUUGCUAAUGAUGGAUUAAUUAGCUUUAAUAGAUUCGUCUCGCGAAUUAGACUCCAUCUGUGCAACUAGUUUUAUAAUUAGCUCAUAUUUAGUCCUCCUAAUUAGCAUCCGAACAUCCGAUGUGACCCUGCUAAAGUUUAGCACCUCGUAUCCAAACACACCUUAAAUAUUGCCCUUUUUUCUCCCAGUCCUAAUCUUUCAGCAAGUAGGGGCUGGAACGUCUCGUCAGUCGUGUCAUCUGCUGAUUAAGUACUGAGAACAAUCUUGUCUGAUUAUAUGUAUAUUUUUUUUGAAAGGCAUUGUUGUCUGAUUCUCGCACCAGAAAGUGGGAUCUUUUCUUAGUCCUUCGGUGGUUGCUCUUCCUUGCACUCCAGAACUCAUCAGUAGUAAGUACAUGGUUCAGUCCUUUCUGACUCUUGUGUUUUCAACCCUGAAAACACCAGCAACUCAGCAAGUGUUGUCCUUGAAACCUCUCUUCCUCAGAAAUAUAUGUUAAACCCUUGGAAUCUGAAACAAUCAGGGUGGAACCAUUUCAGUCAAGCUGUUGUUGUUGCUUCACAGGAUGUGUCGAUCGAAUGAUUUGGCCACACGGCAAGGCAAGCUUAGACAGAUGCAAACGACAUUGACUUGAACUGUCGUUCAAUUGCUAGCUGAAAUCGGGCAAUUUCAGAGCAAUCCGCACUUUUUAACCAUACUCUCUAGUUUCCUCAUUGUGUCACAUCCUGUUUUGGAUUCUUGCUCUCAAGUCCGAGAGCGAUGACAUCGAUGCUUUCACAUGCUCCACGCACGGCCCUUUCUUUCCUUUUUUAUUUUCUCUUUUCGUGCUGUUACCUCCCGAGCAGGUUAGACAGGAGAGUGUGUGGCAUGCUUUCAAAGUUCAGACUGCAGGUUCAACAAGCCUGCAAGCCAAAGGCAAUGAAAUCUGGUGCGACGGUGUGACGCGGAGAUACUAGUGUUUAUCGUCCUAGAACGAUCAUCUAGCACUAUGACCUCUAAAUCAUGUUCUCCGUUUUUUUUCUUUUUACGAUUACAAGGACAAUUAUGAAAAAUCAUGUUAUCCUUUUUUCAAGGGAAAAAAAACUUGUCCAGACUCUCUAAAUUUGAUAUUUUUUUUAACGAGAAAGGCACAUAGCUUUGGGCGUAGCUAUCUGUUGCGCUGCUCGAUCCCGCACGGGAAUAUCCCCGAUCUCCAGGCUUUUGGUGGUUUGGCUGCUUCAUCGGCUCAACAGCUGCCAAGAGGUUGACGUCUCAUGGAACAGGAGAGAUGGAAGCGAAAUCUGGCACAGUUCAGAGAAGCAGCUCCUGCAGAGUUGCAGUCUUGCCAACCAAUUUUAUUGCCUCAGCUGAGCGAGCACGGGAACACGAACAAGUAAACUCCAUUUCUCUUAUUAUUAUUACUUCUACUGGUAAUUUACAAGCAAAGGUCUGGCCGAUACAUAUAUGUAUAUAUAUACUAUAGGACCAUCCCAACAUGAUCUCAUCUGUUCCCCCAUUACAUGCUGCACCCCUCCUGUUGUCGGAAAUUCCCGGCCCGGCCAUCGCUGUUCCCAACCGUGAGAUCACCCAGCCCUGGCUCGGGUUUGUGAUGUGUGAUCGCUGCGGCCCCGGAUGUCGAGAAAGUUCGGCUGACGGUGCACCGGAAGGAGCCUGGGCAUUUACGCCGUGACGGAGGUCUCGAUCGCCACGCGGUCGGCGUAGAGCACGUCCUCCGCCUUCUCGGCCUCCUCCCACAGCCCCGGCAGCGCCUCCCUGAUGUUGUGGAUGCUCUCCAGCGCGUGGUCCGCGCCCUUCACCCGCUGCGACUUGCCCACCAGCACGGUGUGGAGGCCGAUCUGCUUCCCGGCCUGGAUGUUGCGCACGCUGUCGUCGAAGAAAAUCUGCAGGGGAUCAGGUAGAGCCUUUGUCAGGGACAUGAGCGCAUGGCCAAACAGAACAAAGAUUCUGCAGGUAUGAAUGAUUGAA